AAAAAUAAAUAAGAUCAAAUUAAAAUGGAGAAAAAUAAAAAAAUCAUAAAUUUAAAAAAAAAGUGAAAUUUUUUGAAACUGUUUUUUAAAUUUUUAUUUUUAAUUUUUUAGUAUUUAUUUUUUAUUUUAUAAAAUUUUAAACCCUAAUUCCAAAACCUCACCCCUUAACUCUAAACCCUAAAGUUUGGAUUAAUUAACCCAAGGGGUAUACGUGUAUAUUUACCUCUUUAAUGAAACUUAUUUUUGUGACUUUGAGCCUUGAAUACUAGUUUGAGAACAAAAACUUGGUUUGGUGUUAUCUUAGUCUUUUUUUUUAUCAACACAUAUUUCCAAUGAUAAUUUCCGACAUUAUAUUUGAAAAUGAAAAAAAAAAAUUCAAUUUUCAAUUUUUUGAAAUUUAUUAUUAUUUUUUCUGUAUUUUAAUUUGAUCUUAUUUAUUUUUUAAUUUUUAGUUAUUUUUUAUUUUGAUUUUCUAAAUCUUUAUUUAUUUUUCUCACUUUUUUUAAUUUAUGAGUUUUUUGUUAAAUUUUUUGAUUUUUUUUUUGUUUAUUUAUUAAUUAAAUAAUUAUUUUUUGAAAAAAAAACUGUUUUUAACCUGUUCAGCAGGUCAUUUUUCUUUUUUGGAGGUUUUUUAUGAUAAAAAUGUCACUUUGAAGGUUAAAAGUGUUAGUAAAAAAACUUCAAAGUUUAAAGUGCUAGUAAGUGACACUUUCAAGGUUUUUUAUGCGAUUUUCUCGAAUUCUAUUUAUGAUAUUCCAAGAAGGCAAGAAGUAAGAAAAGUAAAUAAGAAAAGAAAAGUACGCUUUGGUUGUCAGUUUUAGGUAUGUGGUUCAAAUGGCAAACGAAGUUGGGGUACUCUCACUUCUCUACAAACCACCCUUCGAUAUCAACUUCCUAUAUUGAAAAUAUUCGUGUUACUUAUCUCUGGCCUUCGUGAAUGAACUAAACACAAUGCUUUAAUUUUGCUUCUCACUAUAUAUCUUGAAAAACAUACAAUAUUUGUAUCAAAGACAGUAAUUCAGUUUUAGCAAUACUAUUUAGAUCAGAUCUCUUGAAACCUAUUAUUGGUUGUCAAGUGGUACUUCGAUCGGAAUGUGGUCUAAACUCGCUUCUACAUGAACUCGAGUUAUAUUUGAAACAAAAUCUUUGGAGAUGGUCCCGAUCUACUUUUAUAAAAAAACUUGUGGACGAGUUGUUUCAACCGUAGUUUACACACUGGAGUUAGUCAGAUCUUGGUUCGAAUACAUUGGAUAACAAAAAUAUAGUUCUUAAUUAGUUAUAAUAUCUGCAUAUUUAUACGUCCGUAACGUUUAUUGCGAUUAGUAAGAAAGAAGGUCGGUUUUGUGUUUUUCUUAUACAAAAGUUUUUUUUUUCUGAACACCUUACAAAAGUUUAAGUGGAGAAUAAUUGGUUUGAGUAAUGCACGUGAAAGAACCCAUUCAAUAAAAUGCUCGUCGGUUCCUCCUCCAUGCUUUGCGGCCGUCGAAUCAUUGCUUUUUCUUUUGAUGUUUUUGACCUUUGUGCUAAAUUACAUAACCCCACUGUUCUUUUUUUUUUCCAUCUGAAUUUUAUUGAUGCAGUGAAAACAUACAAAAUAACGUCCAACAGCCGGCGGAAACGAUUAACAUCCCCGGAACCAUAGCCCAUACAAGGGAGACUCAAGCCCAAACAAAAGGCAACACAAAGAGACACUAGACCAAUCACUUAGAUAGAGCUACACUUCUAAAUCCAAAUCUAUAGACAAACCUUAAGAAGGUGAAUAGCAGCAAGUCGAUCAAUCAUAGAAUUGCCGGCACUCUUGCCAAGAACCAAACAAGCACAAGAGAGAAUAAGCGAUGUCCCCACGGUUUUUUUUUUAACAAGGCCAUAAACCCAUGUUUGUUUUAUAAGUAUGCUUCUGUGUGAGUGUUUUUUGGGCUGAAAAGUAUGCUUGUAUGUUCUACCUGAUCUAUUGACUUUUUGCCUAACUGGAAUGAUAGAAAAUUGUAUAUUGGGUGUUAGAUUUCAUUGAGUAAAAUUGUAUUCGUAAGCAUAUCCCUUGUUAGUGUCACUAGAAAGUAUGCUCAAUGUAUUUAGGUUAUCAAACAAAACACACUUGAGAGAAUGCAAAAGAAAAAAUAUUGUAUACUCCAUAAAAAACUUGGAAUUAACUCUUGAAUACGUACGAAUCUUUGAGGUGAUUGUGAUAACAAAACCAACAAAACCAAAAAAAAAACUAAAAAUUUAAAGGAUUUUACGGAAGUUAACAAAAAGUAACAAUGCUCUCAAAAUAAUAUACCUAGAAAAUAAAGCAUGUAACAGUAGAGUUAUGACAAAGUUAAAGAAAAGGAGCAGAAGGCACGGGGCUCAAGAGAUGUAAAAAAUGUUUACAAUGAACCAAAAGGAAACCAAUAAUGGAGGGAGUCGAGACAAAGGGUAUGAAUGUAGUGUUCAUUUUUUUUUUGUUUUUGACAACUACUUUUUCUCCUUUAGUUAUCAAUAUUUCAUAUUACUUUAUUUCUUUCUUUCACAAAUUAAAAUUCAUCUUUAAGUAUAAGUUUUUUGUUUUGUUUUUUUAUAAAGAAUUUAAGAUGAAUUUUCUUAUACAAAUAAUUAAAAUGACAUACUGUAUAUAUAAAAUAAUAUUAUUAAAUUUGACAAACACCUAUAUAUAUAUAUACAUAUUCAAAAUAGGGGUGAACACAUAUCGGAUAUCCGGAUGAUCCAAUCUGUUUCGUCCGAAUAAUCAAUUAUAUGUUCUGAUUCAAUCCGUAUCCCCCUUAAUAUUCUAUGUCCCUAAUAUCCGGAAAAUUUUAGAUUUUGACUGGAUAUCCGAUUCGAUCUAUAAAAAUAAAAAUAUAUUAGAAAAUAAAUUAAAAUAAAAAAUAAUAUAAAUAUUAUAAAAUAAUAUAAAAUAAUAAUAUUUUAUAACAAAAAAAAUUAUUUACUUUUGAAAAUUCUAAUAAAUAAUUUACUAAUUCAGUAAAUAAAAUAUUGUAAAAUUUAUAUAAAUAUAAAAUUUAUAUAACUUUUAUAUAAUUCUUUAAAUAUAUGUAUAUAUAUGCAUAUAACGGAUCGGAUAACCUUUCUUAAUUUAAUAAUUUUAUGCAUGUUAUUUAUAUUGCGUGUAUUAUUUGCAUAUAAUUAUAAAUUUAAAUAUUUUUAUAAUUAAUUAUUAUUUUAAAAUGAUUAUUAUACGCAUUAUAACACAUGCAUUAUUUUAAUCUUAUGUUUAAUUAGUUUUAUCAUUUUUUUUAUAUCUAUGUUCAUAUAAUUGAACUAAUAUUAUUUUAAAAUUUAUAGAUAUGGCAUCUAACCGUGGACAAAACGUAAAACUUAAUACACGUCAUACAGAUUUGAUCUGCAUUUGUUCUGCAUGAUCUGUAUUUGUUCUGCUUGAUCUGCGUUUUCUAUUUGAUCUGCGUUUUUAUGAUCUGCAUGCCAUUCGAAGCCAAAAGACGAAUGCUUCUUUGCCUAAUCGGCGCAAUGUGGCGUGUUGUCUCACUUCUCUCCGACAUGCGUUGGGCUCACGCGCCUAGUUUCCUCUUUGUAUACCUCUUUUCUAUUUAAGGACCUGUACCCAAACUAGCCGGUUCAUGAUAAGGAUGUCUUGACACGGUUUGGUGUUUGGUUUAGCGUCGAAUGCAUAAGGAAGGGAUCGAGUUUUGAGUUUGGCGCAUUGCCCUUAGUUCUAUAUGCUUCUAUUUUAUGAAGUCAAGUACUCAAUGUAAGAUACUUAUACUGUUUAAUGGUUUUGCUAAUAGUAGAAGUUAAGUAUAUCAUGCAUCUACUGUUGUGGCUUAAUUAGUCAUUUAUACAGCCAAAUAUAUAUAUAUAUAUAUUACAUAAUUUGAAGCCUUUGCGUAUGCAUCAAGUGUAAACGGUCAAGUGGUUUUAAUGCCUUGUAGAAGUUAUUGCGCUCUGCACCCUAGCUGGGUUUUGUUGGGAAGGAUUAGAAGAAGAGAACCCGAUCUCUACAUAAAAACUUGUAGUAAAAUGAUGCUCUUAGCAUUAACUUAUUACACUUGGAGACUUAAGCACGAUUUUUAUUAUUUUAAAAAUUUCUGGAUCGUAUUCAGACAUGUCAAUCUAAAAUGUACAUCGAAAAUUCCUUACUACUGCAUUUGUAUCAGCUAGAUUGCUAUACUCGGAUGCAAUGUGUAUCUAUCACUGCUUCUAAUAAUUUUGGUUCUAAAACGAAAGACAUAUAUAAUCAUCUUCUUUGCGUGUUUUAGAAAACACACUACUAUAAUCUACACUGUACUAUAUGAUCACUCUAUAUUUGAAGAGAAUGUGCUAAUGACCAGAGGAUUGCGUGCGUUUUAGCGUCUCUAAAUAAACAUGUGAAAAGCACAUGUCUCAAGAAUAUACAAAUCGGGUAUUUUACCCAGAUGACUUUUUUUUGGUAAAACCGUAAAAGUAUUCAGUUGACAUUUGAAAGUAGAUAAACACUAAUAGAAACAAGUGCGAAACCUUCCCUUUACGUAUCCUUCCCUCUAAUAGAAAGCCACCUGCGUUGACAAUAAAAUGACAUUUUAUUAGCAAUGGAGAAAAUUUAAAGUGGCAAUCAUUAUUCAAAGAAUUACGAGAUACAUGGCCUGCGUUAAGUUAAAACACUAAUUCCAGACACCAAGGCUGCAACUUGAUUUCCAUUUCAUGAAAUGGAAUAAUCACUUCUAUAUAAAAUUUUUAACUGCAACUAGAUUGUUCUUUUUUGAAAAGAAUGGUAUGGAAUAACUUAGUCCAUUUGUUCUAUUAUUGAUCUCACAAUUUAAAUUGAAUAUAAUAUAAUACCCCUUCCAUCAAUUUCACAAACAUUCUAAAAAAUACAAAGAAAAGCAUUCAUAAACAUUUCUUUAUAAUUUUGAUCUUGAAUGAACAGAAUGAAUAUAUUCAAUUUUUAAACUGAUUCCAUAAAUUUCAUUCCAUCUACUUUAUCCCCUUGAUUCUAUGAAAUUGAAUAUUCAAUUAAUUUAAAAAGAACUAAAAAAUGCAAAUAAAAAUAUUCCACAACAAUUAUGAUAAAAACAAACGAAGUGAAUCUUUUUCAUUUUUCUAUUACAUUCGUUUUUUCUUAUUACAUUUCUCUUAAUUCUAUUUAGGUUUACUAUUAUAGCCCAAAUUCUAUAGGGCAUCGUUACAUAAAUACAAACUUAUAGUGAAGUAAUAUGUACAACUUUAUAACAUUGUAUGUUAAGGGUUCAAAACCCAGGUUAAUAUAUUUUGUAAUUUUAUAUUCCUUUUUAUGGGAUAACAAUUAAUCUUAAUUAUUCUUUAAAGGCAAUCCAAUACAUAGAACUGGCCUGAGAGAGUGAGAGAUAAUUAAGUUGUUAGUUGUUUUAUUUAAUAUAUCUUCUCAUGCUGAACAAAAAAUAAUAAACCAAAUCAUCUUCUCAUUUCUGAAGACCAUCAAACGAAGCCAUAAAGUAUUCAAAGGUUACAACGAAUUGACGUGCGAGCAGAGUUGAAUUGUCAAGGAUGAACCAUCAUAAUAUCAUAUCACCAUUUUUCAUAUGUACAUGCUGGAGCACCUCGCAAAUUAAUAUGUUACUUUGUGGAAAUAAUACAAAACAUGCAAUUGUCAACUUGGACUAACUUGUAACCAACCAAACAAUACCAACCACACAUUUAACUAACCACACUAAAUUUUUUCUUUCUUUCUUAUCUUUCAAUUUUUGUUUUUUUGUUUUGUUUUAAAGAACAACUACGAAAGAAGAACUAUGAAUACUUUUCGUAGCUUAAUAGUCAUUUCACUUCUUGUUGCCUUCGAAUAAUCCCCAAGAACCUUAAUGGAGAAACCCUAGUCUCAUGCUCCGAGAUCGUCUGCGACUUGGGUGACCAUAUGUGUUCUCUCGUUCCCACAAGCUGAUCAUACUGCUUCUUUAGCUCGGGAGAAUUACAAAUCUCACUGCUUUCACCACACUCCAUUAUUACCUCUCCUUUGGUGCGCAUGUUUCUGUUUUUACAUAUAAGAGUCAUGAUAAAAACAGGAGAAACUUUUAUCAAAACCUUCCCGUUUACUCCCUUAGAAUACUCGAACGGUGGUGGACUCGACGGGGCGGUGAAAUUCAACGUUGGUUGAUUAGUAGACGGAACUUUUUCAUCAAGAUUAGAGUUGAAGAUGGAGAGACACGAAGUGGUUAAGAUUCUAUAGGCGAAACGUUCGAUCGGUAAGACGAAGUAGGUUUGACCUGGGAGUAGAUAGUCGUCCAUGGCUAGAGCUGGAACGGGACGGCCGAUGAAGAAUGAAUCUGCAUGGCACACGAUUUGAUCGGGAAACUCGAACAUGAUCUCUCCGGCGACGUGUUUCUUUGAGUCACAUAGGGUUUUGGUGGAUCCUUGCUCAAAGAAAACUAGCGUGACUAUUGCUUGGCGUCUACGGAGGAUAGGGAUACAAGAAUUGAUGAGAGAUUUUGCCAUUUUUUUUUGCAGAGAAAUAGAGAGAUUUGUAUUCAAGCUGGAAAGUUAUGACUUGUCGUAUUAAGUGUAAUGAUUUAUAGAGAGGUAGGGAUUAGUCUUUAUGGUCUUUGUGUUUUGUUUGUAGUUAAAAAGGUAACCCACUUGAAGGAGAGUUGACUUUGGAAGUGGUCAAACACUCCAAGAUUUGCUUCUACAUAUGAUUUAUCAUGUCGGUUCUUUGGUCAAUCCUCUCGGCUUUGAAUAUUUGAUCCUCCUCCUCUCUCUUUGUUUGAGGCUAUAUUAUAAUUCCAUAGAUGAAUCUUUUUUCACAUUUUUUUGUUUUAAUUGCAUUUUAUAAUGUUUUAAUUCGAAAUAUUACAUAAACUCGUGGAAGUGGUUACACAGAAACUAGUAUUAAAUAUUAUAUUAAUUUGUUUGAAUAUCUUGUACUAUCUCAUUACAGCACGUUGAUCUCGUGUCUUAUUUCAUGACGACUGUACAGAAGGGAAGAAUUAUACAAUGGUCCAGAUACGUAGUCCCUUAUUAUCUCUGUUAUCUAUUUCUCUGUUCAUAUUGUCCAUAAUCAUCAAACAUAUCCAAAUUAUUUUUUUUUGGUCUAAAUGUUAAGAUUUAUACCACUUUUUAAGGUUUUUUCAAUGUUGUGAAGCACAACUUAUUACAUGCUGAAAAUAAAGGAGAGAAAGAGAGAGUUUGGAUCAUUAACUAUAGGGAGAAAGAAACUAGAAGUACAAUUCAAGCAGAGAAGGAGAGGAAGUAGACGCUAGAGAGGGAGACAGCAGCCUAUCACGCAGUCCACGGUCCACGACUCUGAAGAAGCCUUCUGAGGUUAGGAAGACGUCUUUGAAGAUGCGAGCAUUGCGUUCACGCCAUAGGUUGUACGCGAUGACUUGACUGAGAAGCUUGAGAAUGAUGACCGCACGUUGAGCAUGGGGACCCUGAAGAUUGCGGCACAUAUCAACCACGGCCGUCAAGGAUGCUGGUGGAGCCGCCAUGUACCUGCCACAAAAACGUAACCAAGUAGCAGAAGCAAAUGUACACUCAAAGAAUAAAUGAUCAUGAGUUUCAUCUGCAGAAGAGCAUAAGACACAACCUGGAGGAACAGAUAUUCCCCAAGAUAUCAAGCGGUCUCUAGUUGGUAGUCUGCCAAGAAAAGCCGUCCACGAUAUGAAUGAACAACGAGGGAUCUCCUCUUUGAACCAAACCACCGAAUGCCACUGAACCGAAGGGAGAGGGGUACGAAUCCUUUCCCACGUCACACGUGAGGAGAAUGAUGUACCAAACCCUCCAGAUUGAUUCCUCCACAGGUAUACGUCACUGCCAUUGGUGUCACAAGGGACAGGAAGUGUCGACAAUAUAACCUGAAGCGUUUCUGCGAAUUCUGACCGUGCCGGCGGUAAAUUCCAGUGACCAUCACUCACAGCUUGUGAGACAGUAGCGCUCAGCGGAAUUCUAAGAGAUCUAGGGCCCGAGGGACCGAAGAGGGUGAGUAACGGACCCAGCUCCGUCCAAUAAUCAAACCAGAACAAUGCUGUUUGACCAUCUCCAAUGCUGCAAUGGAGAAAGCCAUGAAGUUCUUGCUUCAGCUGAAGCAUACUUCUAACAGACAUUGAGAAUCGCUGGGCGUCGUUAGUCAACCAGAAACUCCUCCCACCAAAUCUAUUCUUGCGAAGCCAAGGAACCCAGAGAGAUCCCGAUCCACUGAAGAACAGCCAAGCUCUCUUCAAUCUAAACACCAAUUCAAACUCUUCCAGCUGUCUUAUACCUAAGCCACCUUCAGACUUAGGUUUACAGAUAUUCAACCAAGAAACUCUCGCCCCAGCCGCGGAGGUAGUACUGUUCUUCCAUAAGAACCCAGAGCAUAGCGAAUCUACUUUCGCAUAAAACCACUUUGGUAAGACAAAAACCGAGCUCCAAAAGUUGACCAUCCCAUAGAUAACCGAAUAUAUCAUCUUCACUUUACCGGCAAAAGACAGAAACUUAACCGUCCAAGAGUGCAGUUUAGAUGUUAUACGGUCAAUAAAAGGCUGCAGUGUAGCGGCCGAAAUCCUCUUGGGACUGAGUGGCAAUCCUAGAUACCGCGUCGGAAACUCUCCUCGCUUAUAACCAGACAGAUCACUCAGAACAGAUAUUUGAAUAUCAGUAUAACCUCCAUAGAAGAUCUCUGUUUUAGUCUCAUUGGUAUCCAGUCCUGACCAGUUCUUGAAAUGACACAUAACGUCUUUAAUACCCGCUGUAGACGCACGAGAUCCAUCAGAGAAGACCAAGAGAUCAUCAGCAAACAGUAAAUGGGUGAGCAUCGGGUCCGAACAUAGAGGGUGCAGUCUAAACGAGCCUUCCGACUGAGCCUUGUCCAACAGGCGAGAAAGGACCUCCAUAAGCAUAAUGAAGAUGUAUGGAGAUAUUGAGUCUCCUUGUCUAAGUCCCUUCUUACCCUCAAAAAACCCAGCGAGCUCGCCAUUGAUUGCCACCGAGAAUCUAGGAGAAGAUAUGCAUUCUUUAACCCAUGUGAUGAACAUAGGCGGGAAUUGCUGAGCUUCCAAGACCUUUAUCACAAAGUCCCAGCAUACCGUAUCAAACGCCUUUCGAAUAUCAAUCUUGAGCAUUGCACUCUUGUGACAUGAUGAUUUAUUAUAAUCUUUGAUAAGCUCGGUAGCCAGCAGGACAUUCUCUCCGAGACUGCGCCCUUUUAGAAAAGCGGCCUGAUUGGGGCUAACACAUUCUGUGAAGAUAGGUUUUAGCCGGUUGGCUAUUAUCUUGGAGAUGAGUUUGUAGACGACAUUACAGCAACUAAUAGGCAUGUAAUCACUCAACGAACAUGCUUCCGGCUUCUUAGGAAUCAAAGCUAUGGCAGUGGUGUUCAUAUCCUUCAGCAGUUUACCAUUCCUGAAAAAUUCCUUAACAGCACCAAUAAUAUCCUCUCCCACUAUAUCCCAAGAAGCUCUCAAAAACUCCACCGAAUAUCCAUCUGGCCCUGGACUCUUAUUCAGGGGCAUUGCAAAAAGCGUGGCUUUAAUCUCCGCUGCCGUUACAUCCCGCUUCAAAUAGCUCUGCUGAAGCUCAGAGCAACGGAACGGAAGGAGAGCUCUCAGCUCUAGAGAAGUGGCUGACGAUAAGGGAAGGUCUGUAGAACCGAGAAUCCCUUGGAAGUAGUCAGCUGCAUGAGCCUUUAUUGCAUCCGUAGAGAACAACAGGUGAUCAUUACUAUCCUUUAGGUAAUGAAUGUGGUUCCGAGAAGCAUGCUGAGACACUGUCUUGUGAUAGAAGGGAGUAUUCCGAUCCCCUACGUCUGCCCACCGAACCCUUGAUCUCUGUCUAUAAUAUUUCUCCUCAGCUGUAAGCAACACAUUCAACUUAUCUCUUUCGGAAUGCUCCUCCUGAGCUGUGUUUUGGUUCGGGGCAGUGAGCAGAGUCCUUUGAAGCGCAUCCACUAUUUCUUUCUGAGCUUUAACUCUCUGUGUUAUGCCAUUGAAAUGUCAUUUGUUGAGACUACGCAAUGGCCUCUUUAAUUUCUUGAGGGAGCGGACCAGUUUGAACUGAUUAGUACCCACAAUCUCACCGCAGUUCCAGGAUUCAGUAACCGUCUCCACAUAUUCUGGGUGAUCAAUCACAUGGUGGAAGAAUUUAAAAGGUUUGACAAUCCGUCGACUGAUAGAAGGCAUCCGAAAGAAACAUGGAGCAUGAUCAGAUUGAGAUGGAUCCAAAAACUCUGCAUAUGAGUCCGGAAAAGAAGAGGACUAGGCCUGGUUGAUGAAGGCGUGGUCAAUCUUUGUGGAAACAUAUCCAAAUUAUGGUUUAGUGUAUUUAACCUUUUCGAAAUCCCAUGCUUCACAUGUCGCCUUUGUAUCUUCACUUUAAAAGAAAACAACUUGAACGAGCGAGGGUUAACUUAUGUUUCAUAAGGGUCCUAAUUAUCGAAACUUUAUACAUCAUUUUAUCAUAUUUUCAUAUAAAAUUUUACCUCCCAAAAAUAUAGUUUCAAACUAGAGACCCCAUAUUUGAUUAAAUGGAGAAAAGGUGAGAGGCUUUAUCUCGGUUUUUAAAUUUAGUUUAUUAAUUUUUUAAAUUAGUUUAGAAUUUCCAAAAAGAAAAUUUUAAAAUUUAUAAGAGAAUCAAAUAAUAAUAUAAUCUGUCAUAUACACCUAAAAAGUAUUAACGUACAUAUGUGUAAAAAUCUAUAAACGGGCCAAUAUAAAAAAAAAUCAUUAAACGGGCCUUCAACCGGAAGGAUGAUGGUAGGCUAACGUGUCCAAAAUAACUAUAGUUUAAUGACACGGGCUUUAUUCAAACGCACGCCUAUUUUGUUUCAGCAGAAAUACACAUAAAACCCCAUUAAUAUAUAGAUACACACACAGGUUGGUGCUGCUUUUCUUUAAAUAUUUGUUAAAAUUCUCUAGUUUAUAUUAGUAAAAGUCUUCUUAUAAAAAUAAAAUAUUUGGGUCAUUAUCCGAAGACAUACAAAUUGAACUAAAAUGUUGAAAUUCAACAACUGACUAACACAAAUUCUUACUAAUUUUUUAAUUCAAAAUUUAUAUAAUCUAUAAUGUAAAUAGUAUGAGUUAAGUCUUCUUAACACAAGUUAAAUGAUUGACUUAGACCCUUAAGCAAAUUAAAAAAAAAAAAAGGAAAGCAAAAAAAAGAAGAAGAAGAAGAGUGAUUUGUUUCUCUCCUUUUGCUUUCUCUCCAUCCCUCUAAAGUGCGUAACAGAAGAAGAAGAAGAAGAUCAUCAUCUUCUCUAGAUUCUACACUUCCUCGCCUUCCUCUCUCGCGUCUUGCAGCACCUACAAGAGCUCCGAUUCCUCUGUCUUGGACGGCGUCUAUCACUCGAGCUGUUUCGAUUGCUUCUCCGUUAAUCAGAGGGAAGCAAACGGUUUCGGGAGCUGCUUCAUCGACGAUCAUCGAGAUGAACCCCGUGAAUGUGUAGAUUAGUCUUCAGAAUCUCAGCAAAGUUGAGAUUUCAGCUUGUGUAUGUCGAGAAACGGAAGGAUGGCGUCGGAUCUUAGCAGAGCUGUUCCCGUCGAGAGAGAUAUCGAGCAGGUUGUUUGUUUUAUCGCCUUCUCCCAUUUCGAUUCUUGCUAUGUAGCUCUUAGGUUAGAGACGAGUGUUUGUUGUUGCUGCCUAGGCGAAUCUUCGAUUGCAUAUGAAGUGUAGUUUAAUCCUCGACUCGUAUGCUUGAUUCAAGCUAUUGGUUCAGUCUACGUGAAUUGUUUUUGGUUCUCGUUUGUGGAAUCAGCUUGGAGUUUUAUUAGAUUCAUUUAUCAUAUGGAGCUAGAGUUGUUGAAUGUCUUUUAUAUUUAUUGUUAUUUGCUGAGAUUGCAAAAGAUUCACUUAUUUUGCUUGUGGAUUAUGCUAUUUGACUGACUCAGGCAAUCAUUGCUCUGAAGAAGGGAGCUUACUUGCUAAAGUAUGGAAGAAGAGGGAAGCCUAAGUUCUGCCCUUUUCGCCUUUCUAAUGUAAGCUGUUUUUGGUUUUAUUUACUUAAAUCUAUUGCCAGCAUUGCUCUACGGUGAUAUGCUUUUUUUUUUUUCAUAACUUAACAUGACAUGUAGCUCAUUGUUUGGUGUUUUAAGAGAUAGUUUGCCUGUGAAUUUCAGGAUGAAACUGUUUUGAUAUGGUUUUCCGGUAAGGAGGAGAAACAUCUGAAGCUAAGCCAUGUUUCUAGGAUCAUAUCUGGACAACGCACUGUAAGCUGAGAGCCGUGUUUCGUUCUUUCCCUCUCUCUUUAUGGUCUUUUAUGCAACUUUCCAUGUGCCUUACUUAUCUUACGGUGAUAUUAUUCUGAUAUCUAGCAUUUGUGACUCUCUUGUAGCCUAUUUUUCAAAGGUAUCCUCGUCCCGAGAAGGAAUAUCAGUCUUUUUCACUAAUAUACAGCGAGAGGUCUUUGGAUGUGGUGAGAUUUUUCUUAAACCAUUUAGUCGUUUACUUUUUUUUUUCCGCUUCUGAUAUAAAACAAUCACUCUGUCAUCCGAAAUGUCACUGUGGUUUUCAAGGUUAAUUAAUAUGGUGGUAGGGUUUUUUUUGGUAGAUCUGCAAGGAUAAAGAUGAGGCUGAGGUGUGGUUUAGUGGUCUUAAAGCCUUGAUUUCGCAUUUCCGUCAAAGAACUAGGAGGACUGAAUCAAGAAGUGAUGGGACACCAUCUGAAGCUAACAGCCCAAGGACAUAUACCCGGAGAAGCUCUCCUUUGCACUCUCCAUUUAGCAGCAAUGACAGUUUGCAGAAGGUUGUAGAAAUUUUUUUCCGUGUACACUCUUUCGUGCAUUUCAACACUAAAGACGUCUUCAUUUUAUCUUUCAGGAUGGUUCUGAUCACCUUCGCAUUCACAGUCCUUUUGAGAGCCCGCCUAAGCUUGACAAGGCAUUAUCGGACAUGGCAUUAUAUGCAGUUCCUCCAAAAAGAUUUUAUCCCUCAGAUUCUGGAACUAUUUCAGUUCAUUCUGGAGGGUCAGAUAGUAUGCAUGGACAUAUGAGGGGUACGGGCAUGGAUGCUUUUAGAGUUAGUAUGUCAAGUGCUGUUAGUUCCUCGAGUCACGGCUCUGGUCAUGAUGAGGGAGAUGCGUUAGGAGAUGUUUUCAUCUGGGGAGAAGGCAUAGGAGAAGGUGUUUUGGGUGGUGGAAACCGUAGAGUUGGAAGUUCGUUUGACAUAAAAAUGGAUUCCUUAUUGCCAAAAGCUUUAGAAUCUACAAUAGUACUUGACGUCCAAAAUAUUGCUUGUGGUGGACAGCAUGCUGUCCUUGCGACAAAACAAGGAGAAUGUUUUUCUUGGGGAGAGGAGUCUGAAGGCAGGCUUGGCCAUGGUGUUGACUCCAAUAUUCAAAAUCCUAAGCUAAUCGAUGCACUUAACACCACAAAUAUUGAGCUUGUAGCUUGUGGAGAGUUCCAUAGCUGUGCAGUUACUCUUUCCGGGGAUUUGUAUACCUGGGGAAAAGGAGAUUUUGGUGUUCUUGGACAUGGAAAUGAAGUCAGUCAUUGGGUCCCUAAGAGAGUUAACUUUCUGUUGGAAGGGAUACAUGUAUCAUCCAUCGCUUGUGGACCUUACCACACAGCAGUUGUGACCUCUGCUGGGCAGUUGUUUACUUUCGGUGAUGGGACUUUUGGCGUUUUGGGCCACGGAGACAGGAAAAGUGUUUUCACACCUCGGGAGGUUGAUUCUUUGAAAGGUCUUCGCACUGUCCGGGCAGCCUGUGGUGUAUGGCACACAGCAGCAGUUGUGGAAGUCAUGGUUGGGAGCUCGAGCUCGAGUAAUUGCUCUUCUGGGAAGCUCUUCACAUGGGGUGAUGGCGAUAAGUGUCGUCUUGGUCAUGGCAAUAAAGAACCAAAACUUGUGCCUACCUGUGUUGCUGCUCUUGUUGAACCCAAUUUUUGUCAAGUGGCAUGUGGGCACAGUUUAACGGUUGCACUGACAACAUCAGGCGAAGUCUAUACUAUGGGCAGUCCUGUCUAUGGUCAGCUGGGAAACUCAUAUGCAGAUGGAAAAGUUCCAAACCGUGUCGAAGGUAAACUUCACAAGAGUUUUGUCGAAGAGAUUGCCUGCGGUGCUUAUCAUGUCGCAGUCUUAACUGCGAAGACAGAGGUUUACACCUGGGGAAAGGGAUCAAAUGGUAGACUUGGUCAUGGGGAUGUAGAUGAUAGAAACUCGCCUACAUUGGUAGAGUCGCUAAAGGAUAAACAGGUGAAAAGUAUUGCAUGUGGAACUAACUUCACAGCAGCUGUCUGCAUUCACAGAUGGGCAUCGGGGAUGGACCAGUCCAUGUGUUCAGGUUGCCGUCAGCCCUUCAAUUUCAAGAGAAAGAGGCACAACUGCUAUAACUGCGGACUAGUGUUUUGCCAUUCGUGCACUAACAAAAAGUCUCUGAAGGCUUGUAUGGCACCGAACCCGAACAAACCAUAUCGAGUGUGUGACAAGUGCUUUAACAAAUUGAAAAAGACCAUGGAAACUGAUUCAUCGUCUCAUUCUUCUCUGAGUAGAAGAGGAAGCAUUAACCAGGGAUCAGAUACCAUAUACAAAGACGACAAGUUGGAUUCUAGAUCCGAUGGACAGUUAGCUAGAUUUUCACUGAUGGACUCCAUGAAACAAGUGGACAAUCGACAUAAGAAGAACAAGAAAUACGAAUUCAAUAGUAGCCGUGUCUCGCCUAUACCAAGUAGAAGCUCUCAACGUGGUGCGCUUAACAUAGUCAAGACUUUCAAUCCAGUGUUUGGAGCAUCAAAGAAGUUCUUCUCAGCUUCUGUUCCUGGUUCUCGAAUUGUGUCUCGGGCAACUUCUCCAGUAUCAAGACGUCCCAGUCCACCACGUUCAACAACACCAACUCCCACUCUUUCGGGACUUACCACACCGAGAAUUGUAGUGGAUGAUACUAAGAGAACCAGUGAUAAUCUUAGCCAAGAGGUUGUUAAGCUAAGAUCUCAAGUAAGCUUCCUCUCGACCAUCUUUUGUUUUUUCUGGAUCUUAAUAUGUUGAUGAGAUCAUGCUAUUUGAAGCGUGCUUGGCUGCCACCAAUUUUAAUUUACUGCCUGAGUUUCUCUUUGUGAUUGCUUCUUUGCUAACAAGUAGAUGUGAUCAGGUUGAAAGUCUUACAAGGAAGGCACAAUUCCAAGAAGUUGAGCUGGAAAGAACAGCCAAGCAACUCAAAGAGGCGUUGGCAAUCGCUAGCGAAGAAACCACAAGAUGCAAGGCAGCAAAAGAAGUGAUCAAAUCACUUACCGCUCAAGUAAAAUUUCAAAGCUCCAAAAAAAUAAAGACAUAGUUUACGCAAUAACUACUGAUUUCUUAUGACUGAUUAUAAGCAUCAACAAAACUAUGCAGCUGAAAGACAUGGCUGAGAGGUUACCCGUUGGCUCAGCUCCAGCUCGAGCUAUAAAGUCUCCUUCGUCUCUUAAUUCAUUUGGUUCCAGCCCUGGUCGCAUUGACCCUUUUAAUAUCUUAAACCGACCAAACAGUCAAGAAUCCACCGAGCCAGAUGGAGUAAAUACCCCAAUAUUUUCUAAUGGGACCAUUACACCUGUGUUUGGUAACGGUGAAGCAACGAAUGAAGCACAGAACGAGAAGGAAUGGGUUGAACAAGACGAGCCUGGUGUCUACAUCACACUUACAGCCUUAGCCGGAGGUGCUAGAGACCUCAAACGCGUCCGUUUCAGGUAACAAUCAAAUCUUAUUUACGCCUAUAAAAGAAACAGUCAGUUAUUUUGCUUGACCGUUUUGUUUUGGAUAACAGCCGAAAAAAGUUCAGUGAGAAACAAGCGGAACAGUGGUGGGCAGAUAAGAGAGGAAGAGUCUAUGAACAGUACAAUGUACGGAUCGUUGACAAAGCCAGUGAGGAAAUGCCUCGGUGAAACUCUUUAACCACUUCUCUUAUUUUUCUUCCACGCCCGAGUCAGGUGAGUGCAGGAAUCUCGGGAUAUAACAACAGGUUUAUAACAUAUAUAUAGAGAGCAAAUUAGAUGUUUUUAAAGUGUUGACGUGCUUCUUACGUUGUAGUUUGGGGGAUUUGUGUUGUUUUUGUUGUGAGAAGGUUGUAUAUUCUUUGUGAAGAGGAAAGUAUAUGUAAGACUGAUUUGAGUAUAAGGGAUCAACGUAGCAAAGCAGUGACUGGUUCAAGUGUUUGAUGCAAUCAACACAUAAAUAAUGGUUUCAGAUUGAAAAGAGGACAUGAAGUUGAGGGUAUAGAGCAAAGCAAAUGACUGGUUCAAGUGGCUUUUCUUCUAGCCUUGCUACGACAUGUAGGAAUCUAAAGUUCAUUCAUACUGAAAUUAAAACCUGAUAAGAGUAGCAUUUCUUCUAAUUUCUGCUGAAGUAAUAAUAAAGUUUCUGUAUGUAUGAUCAGUAAUGUUGUUUAUGUAUUCAUAGUAAAACUAGAAUUACAAGUCAUUUGUUUAGACAAUUCUUCCAAGAACAGGGAAACAUGCGCAUAUGUACGGGUUCUUUCCUUCUCAGCCUCAGCGUAGCAAGGCUGCGGCAAUACCAGCAACAACCCCAACAGCAGUAACAGCAAUUCCAACGCCAAUAACACCAUCUGCUUACAUAAAAGAAAAAAUAGAGAUUUAAAUGGAUUAGAAACGGCACAAGUACCAUCUAUGUAUGUGGUUGUUUACCUUUCACAAUACGGUCCUCUAUAGCCGUUUUUAGCGUCUGAGCCUGUCCCCACUCUGGUUCCACCUAAAAAAACGCAUCCAUGAAUACAUCAACAACAAUAAAAACAUUCUUGACUAUCAAUAUGGAUAAGAGAUGAUCAAACCUCCAAACAGCGUUCUACACAUUCCCGGCUUCUUGAAAAAUCGCUGCUUCGAUAGUAACCAAGAGCAAGGAGAUAUAGCUUCUCUCUAAGAUUCAUUGGACUCGUAUCACUAACCACCGAAGCUGCAAAACAAAGCAGAAACACAUUCGAAGGCUAUAGACAUUUCUUAAGAACUUUAAUAAUUAAAAAAAAAAGAAAGAUUUAUACCUUCGAGCAUUGAGAUCCCACGCUGUAUAUCAGCAUGUGUCUUCGAAUGAACAAGAGCCCAUGAUAGACGCAUGAUGCAUUCCUUUUUAAGCCCUUCGUCUUGGCCUUUCUGAGCCUCUGCAAGCUCUUUCUCACAUCCCUGAGAAUGACAAACGCCUUAUGUUUAUCACACACAUACAAAAAAUCUGUAAAACAUGUCGUGAUCUAGAGGUUCCUAUGCGGUGGAUUGUGAAUCAUAAUAAAGUUACCGAGAUGAUGUCGGUGUCGCACAGGGGGAAUUCAUCUGUGGAGCCUGAGGCAGCGCCGGAGAAGAAGCCGGAGACGGAAUCGAAAACUUUACCUAUCGUCGCGUCCAUUUCUUGUCGCAGCUGCAAGAGUUUCUCCCGACCAGAAACAAAAGUUAUGCCUUAAAUUUGAGUUUUUUAUUUUAAAAGUUAUGCCUUAACACUAAUUAAGGAUUUUUUUAUUCUUUAGCUUUGCCAGCUUGUAUCAUCAAAAUUUAACUUUAUUUAAGGUUUAAAUUAUUUUUUUUAUAUAUUUAAGGUUUAAAUCUACUAUGACCUUUAUUUUCAAACAAAAAAUAUCUACUAUUACCUUUAUUUUUUCUUUAACUUUAGUUUAUUAUAUUUUAAAUAUAUAAAAAUAUUAUAUAGAUAAUACUGAAACCAGAAGUUUUUAUUUGUACAGUAUAUAACAAUUCAAGUAUACCAUUUUGAAUCAAUUCAUAAAAAUUAAAAUUGAUUAACUAAUCUAUUUUUUAAAGCAAUAGCAUAGUUAUUAAUACAUAUUUUUCUAUGAGACUAGAAACUCAUACAUUUUGAUGUAUAAAAUCAUUGCUAAAUUAUUAUUUAGCUUUUAUAACUGUUUUAACAUUCUUUUUAUCAGACUAUUAUAAUAUAUAUUUAUGUAAAAUAAUCAUCUGCAAGAUAAAAAAAAUCUAAAUAAUUUGUUCCUAUAAACAAUUGUCUAAUAUUCUGAAAGAAAUUAUACUCUACUAUAUCUGUUUUUGUAAAAGGUGUAGAAAAAACAUAUCACACCUUGACCAGAAAAAGAGAGGAAAAAAGAAGUUAAAAAAGAAAAGGAGUGUGGGAGGUGAUGGCUUCCUCUUCCUAACAUUGACCAACCUCUCUUUUGUCUCUUCCUUCCUUCACUUGAGAGAAUACGUUAAAGCGUUACUCUCUACACAAUUCUCUUUCUACCUUUCCUCCUUCCCUCACGUUGUUAGCGUUUCUAGAAAAAAAAAAGAAAAAAAUCUCAGCGCUUACUUUUGACGGCCCAAUGAGCUUCCUUCGCUUCGUUUGUUAACAGAUUCGAAGCUCACAUCAAAUGGAGUGGGUGGGGAAAGCCGUUAGGAAGGAGAUCGAAGGGGUCGGGCUCUGCUCCGGGACCGUCCGAUCUCACGAUUCGUCUCGAAAUUUCGAGAACGGAGUUACGGAGGUUUCGGAAUCGGCUGAUCUCGCGAUGGGAGAAGGGGGAUCUCAAGCGGAGCAGCCUCGAGCUGGUAGGAGGAGGACGAGGACGCGAUCUCGAGGGGAGAGGGACGGUGAGAUCAUCAGCUCUGAGGUAAAUGUGAUGAGAAACGUUGAUUUGAAUGAUGAUGGAGUUGCGGAGGAUGAUUCUAGGGUUAGUGAUGAUUGCUUUGGAGGGAAUGUUGAUUUGAAUUGUGGUCCUGUGGAAAAAACCACCCUAGGUUUGGAUUUGAAUAGGGCGUUUGAUUUGAGUACUGGUUUGGAUUUGAAUUUGAAUGAAGGUUUAGGGUUGGUUAAUGUGAGCAUCGAUUACUUGGAGGGUUCUAGUGUCAAGAGGAGAGGGUUUAUUGACCUGAACAUGGAUGCGAGGUGUGAUUUGAGUCCACACAAGGAGGUGGGAGGAUUUGAUUUGAACUUGGAGGUUAACAUGCAGGACGAUGAACAAGGUAUCCAGAAUAGUCUCGAGGGUGGAGAGUGUAAAGAAGUCCAUGUUGCUGAAGUAUCCAGCGUUCAGCUUUUUGAGGAGAUAGGGAAGCAGGACGUUGUUUCACUUCAGGAUCUGAAUACUCCUGAGCGGGAUCUUGAGCAUGAGGCUAAGACUGUUGUUGAGUCUCUCUCUGAUAGGGAAGAAUAUACAAGUGGCAGGAGGAAGAGAAGAAAAGCCUCGGUGAAUCCAAAAUUCACGAGCCAGCCUCGGUUGAGAAGAAGCGCUCGUAGGCCGUUAGCUCGGUUUUCUAAUACAGCUUGCUUAGCUGAUGAAGUAUCUCCUUCUCCGUCAGUUAGUAGUCUGACAGAGGAGAAAACUUGGGUCGUUGAAGGAAAAGCAGCUGAGGAUCUUUCUGUGCCUCCGCCAAAGGCUGAGUUACCUCCAUCCUCGCGUGUUUUGAAUUUAGAUGGUCUUCCCAUUCUCAAUGUCUUUUCUGUUUAUUCUUGCCUGCGGUCCUUCAGUACUUUGCUGUUUUUGAGUCCCUUUGAGCUGGAGGAUUUUGUGGAAGCGCUGAGGUGCAUGUCUCCUAGUCUGUUAUUUGAUAGCAUCCAUGUUUCUGUUUUGCAAAUAUUGAGAAAACAUUUGGAGAACCUCGUUGCUGAAGGUGACUGGGCUGCAAUUGCUUGCCUGAGGUAUGAAUACUUUAGUUUGUUUUCUGUUAUAUGGACUGGUUCUCAUGCUUUGCGGGUCGUGUGUUACAUGCAGGAGUCUUGACUGGGAUAUGCUGGAUGUGGUUAAUUAUCCCCUUUUUGUGGUCGAAUACCUACUGUUUUCUGGUUCUAAGGACAAUCCUGGAGUGGAUCUAACUCGGUUUAACUUUUUCAGAAAUGAGUAUUUCAGACAGCCAAUGAAUCUGAAAAUUGAGAUACUUGCCCGUUUGUGUGAUGAUAUGGCAGAUACUGAAGCCGUGAGAUCAGAGCUUAAUAAAAGAUCUGUUGCAGCUGAGUCUGAAAUGGAAAUUGAUAGGAAGAGAAACACAAAAGUGCGACGCAGAAAGCGAGCUAUGAUGGAUCUGGCAGAUGAUUCUUCUUUGCAUGAUGAGGCCGUUGAUGGCUCGUUUGACCCGAACAGUGACGACUGUUGUUUUUGCAAAAUGGAUGGGAACUUACUGUGCUGCGAUGGUUGUCCAGCUGCCUAUCAUUCUAAGUGUAUCGGUGUUGCCAGUCACCUUUUGCUUGAGGAUGACUGGUACUGCCCUGAAUGUUCAUUUGACCAGCGUGUACCAGGAUGGAAGCCUGAAAAGCAAAUUCGAGGAGCAGAGUUUCUAGAGAUUGAUCCCCAUGGCCGAAAGUACUACAGCAGUUGUGGCUACUUGUUGGUGUAAGUUUCUUUUUUUGAUUCUCUUGUCUAAGAAGGGCUAAUGCAUGAUCUCAGUGGAAUCAAUUUUGUGAAUUCAGUUUUUUUUUCUUAGUAGAGAAAUAUAUAUUUUGAUGAGUAUUAGCAACUUUUGUCGUCUCAUCUCUGUGGUACAACUUUUUGAUGAUUUCUGGUAAGCACUGUUGACACAUGUUGAUUGUAUGCUAUAGCUUGUAGGUGAAGGUUUUAGCUUUAAAAAACACUACCCCUGUUUUAGCUAGGCUGGAGGAUUAACUUAAACUAUGGAGUAUUAAAUAAUAUAUGCAUAUAACAUAACAAAACUGCAAAACUAUGUAUCCUUCCUGUAGUUUCCAGUAAGUCUAAUUGCACGUUUGGAUAUGUGAAUGGCCUCUUUUGCUUGGUAUUUUGAUGCAAUUGUUAACCCUUAGUCUUAGAUUGCAUUUUUACGCUCAAUGCAUGCAGAUAUAUGUUUCUUGUCACCUACUUGUAAGAACUUCUUUCAUAUAUUGAUUGUAGGAGCUGCUACAUCUCUUGAUAAAUUUUCUGAUGUUGUCCACUAUGAAUUUGCAGGAUAGAUACCGACGGCACAGGCUUAGUGAACUACUACCAUGUAAAUGAUGUGAUCCAUGUAUUGGAGCAACUCAAGUCAUGCGGUAGUUUCUAUAAUGGAGUAAUAGGUGCAAUUAAAAAGCAUUGGGAUAUCCCUGUUGGGCUGAAAAGGACAAUCAGCGGUGUGAAUUCACAAAUAUUCGUAUGUUUGGAUACGCCAGCCAAAGGGAUGAUUUCUUUUAUUGAUGGGUUUAAGGCUCCUCUGCCAGCUACAGAAAAACAGCCAACGUCUGGCGUUAAGAAAAAGCUUGAAGAAGGAUCCAGUGAUGGAGGUUCACGUAAUCAUUGUCAUAGGGCUCGUCGGAAGAUAUCAGAUUCAGCGACUGGACUAGAUACUCUUAAUAUGAGUUCUGAAGGAUCUGCUGAAACUAUACAAAAUGGUUCUGAUGUCCAGAGUCUUCAUGAGCCAGGACCAUCGAGCAUUUUGGAUGUCACGAAAGAGCCAAAUUCGAAUAUCCACUCGUCUUCCCAUUAUUUGGAUAGAAUAAACAAAAGGAAACGAAUUAGACUGCAGAGUGAGUCAGGCUACAGAAACCAGUACAUAUUUGCUGAGAUGACUACAGCAAUUUCUAAAGAGAUGACACGGAAGUCACCUAUCCGUACCAUUGAUAUGAGAACUGAUGAAGAGAUAGCUUCUACCCAGGUGAAGACUAUAUUGAUGAAAACCACCAAAUUUCAGUGGCGAAACAUCCAAGGCCUCUACCUUGAUGCGUGGAAAGAAAAAUGUGGAUGGUGUCUUUCUUGCAAAUCUGAGGAUGCCGGGAGCAAGACAAAUUGUUUGUUUAACAUGAGUCUAGGGGCUUUACGAGGUCCUUCGGAAAGUGAGAUUGCUAACAGUCAAUCCAUCGAUAAGAAAAGCCAUCUUAUGACUAUCAUAUGCCAGAUAUUAUCCAUGGAAAGUCGAUUGCAAGGUCUUUUGGUUGGUCCAUGGUUGAAUCCACAGCAUUCCAGGAUUUGGCGUGAACACAUUCUGAACGCAUCAAAUAUAUCAAGCUUGAGACAUUUAUUUGUUGAAGUAAGUUUUUCUCAAGUUACUUCCUCCUAAAAUAUUCAUGUUACUCUCUGUAUCAUCGUAUUGGCUGCUGCUAUGUAGAACUUUAGUUUUGGUUUGCUUUCUCCCUACUUGAAAAGUUUGCAGUAGCAGUUUCUAUUCAAUUGCUUUAGUUUGGCUAGGGAAGUUGACUGUCUUUAAGUUGAUUUCUUGAGCGCUUGAUUUUUGUGUAGUGCUUUAGUGAUUAAUCUUGCUGUGCAUCAACUCUUUUUGUUUCCUAAUGAAGAUUAUGCGAAUAACCUUUGCAGUUAGAGGCGAAUUUGCAUCAUCGUGUUCUUUCACUCGAGUGGCUAAACCAUGUCGAUUCUGCCAUAGAAAUGGGGUCAUCUAGGCAUAUUCUCACGUCAACACGAUCAUCGUCAAAGACUGCUAUUGGUAAAAGACGGGGGACAUUGUUGGAGUCUGGGGUUAACCCAACUGCAAAGAAAAAAGGUGGAUUGACCAUGUGUUGGUGGAGAGGCGGCCAACUUUCACGGCCAUUGUUCAACUGGAAGGUUUUACCUCGCUCAUUGGUCUCUAAGGCUGCUAGAAAAGGUUUACAUUUUGCUCGUUUGUUCUUGCUUUCGCCUUUGUUCUUCUACUCUCUUUAACUAUUCUUUUGUUCCUCGCACUUGUUUCAUUCUUCAUGCACUCUAUAUUAUGCAGGUGGAAGUGGAAAAAUUCAAGGUAUACUGUAUCCUGAGAAUUCAGAGCCUGCUAAGAGAAGCCGACGUGUUGCCUGGGAAGCAGCUGUUGAGUCAUCUACGACUUCAGAGCAGCUUGGUUUUCAGGUAAUAUAAAUUUUGGCCUAACUGAAUGUUAUUCUUGUUUCGUUGGUAUUGACAAAAAAAAUACAAAUGUUGAAGUUACAAAACUAUACAAAUGUUAUUCUGUUUCCAUUUGGCGUAUGCAUGAAUGUAGAUGGUAUGAGAUCCUUUUUUCUACUCGAACUGCCAAAUUGCAGUGGCAUAGGUUUAUUAUUUUUUGAGUUUGUCAUCCUCAUGGUUAUUUUAUUGACAUUUGCUAUACAUACUGUUCAUUUGGCGUUGGAAGAUUUUUAGCUAACAAUUUAGUGGUUUACAGGUGAGGACAUUCCACUCUUACAUAAAAUGGGAUGAUAUUGAAAACAGCCAUCUUCUUCCUGCAUCGGACAAAGAAUCUAAAAAAUCUGCCAGGCUGUUCAAAAAAGUGAUUGUCCGUAGGAAGUGCAUAGAGGAAGAUACUGUGAAAUAUCUCCUUGACUUUGGUAAAAGGAGAAAUGUUCCGGAUGUUGUGUUGAAGAAUGGUCGCAUGAUUGAAGAAUCCUCGAGUGAAAGAAAAAAGUUCUGGGUGAAUGAAUCAUAUGUGCCUUUACAUCUUCUGAAAGGAUUUGAAGAGAAAAAAGCUGUUCGAAAAACAAUGAAGUCAGGAAGCUCUUCAAGACACUCUGAGAUAGAAAAAGUACGGAAAAAGUCCUCAGAGAGAAAAGGAUUCUCAUACCUAUUUGAAAGGGCAGAAAGAUCGGAGUCUUCUUUGUGUGAACAAUGCAAGAAAGAUGUGCCUCCGAGGUAUGUACUUAUCACCACUCCUUAUGCCUUCAGAAGUCAUCGUCUUCAUUAGCAUAGCAAUCUUGUCACUUGUCUUAAUCGCAUUAUAUUUUGACCUACAAACAUAUCUUUUUAGAUAUUUUGUUUGUUUGUUGAGUAAAGAUCUUUCUCAACUGCCUUCUGAUCGUAUUUGUUUUUCUUUAAUGACAGUGAUGCUGCGUGCUGCCACAUCUGCAAACGUGAGUCUCUUUUGCUGUUUGUUUCUUUAAAGUGUUUUUCUAUUGAAGAAGUUAUACUUGUGUAGGUAAUCUAGUAUAAUCCAGUCAGAGCUUUUUAUUGAUAUUAGCUAUGAUAAAAAUUUCAGGAUUAUUUCACAAAAAGCAUACCAGAAGAGCGGACAAGGAAGGAAUGUACAUUUGUCUUCCAUGCAGGAGUGAAGUGCAAGCAAAAGAACAACCCAGCGGACGGAGAAGAGGGCGUCCCCCAGGCAGUUUCCGUAAAAAAGUUCGAGUUCAGAAGAAACAAACGCAUAAAAAGGUCAUUCCCGCUCGCAAAUCAACUCGGCUAAAGAAGACCAAAACGUCUCUGGGAGAGAGAAUAUCCGUUAGGUUAAAGAAUCAUAAAAAGGUUGUUGCAAGCAAACCAUUGCGACGUUCAGGCAGGAGACCGAAGCAUGUUACUCGGCUGCAGGAUGAAAGUAAAGUUCCUGGAGGGAGUAAGAAACGGAAACUGGAGACCAAAAGAGGCAGAGGCAGGCCUAAGAAAGUAAAACAAGAGAUUUCCAUAAGAAAGAAGAGAACGAAAAGAGCCUUAAGCUAUUGGUUGAAUGGACUCUUCUUAUCCAGAAAACCUGGUGAUGAACGGGUAGAUAAGUUCCGGGAAGAGAGAUAUUUUAAACCUGUGGAGAACUCGGAUCCUGAUCAUGAUCAACCUAAGUGUCGUUUAUGCGGCUUGUCUGACUCUGACUCUGGAUCAACCUUCAUCUCUUGCGAAAUGUGUAAAGGUAAUCCAAAUCAUCUUUUGGUUCACCAUGAUUUAAAUUCCAGGACGUGGUUUCCAUUUGUUUCUCAGCUCUUAUUUCUAUAUAUAUAUCUCUCUUUUGCUGUAAUGUUUGUAGAAUGGUACCAUGGAGAUGCAUGCGGGAUUAACGAGAAGAAUUCAAUUAUGGUGAUUGGGUUCCGGUGUAAUCUCUGUAGAGAACAGUUACCUCCCACCUGUCCACAUGAGAUCUCUACUACAUCCGAUGUCCCAUCCUAAGCUGUGAAUUUGUGAAUGGCUGAUAGAAUAUUCUUAGGCUAGGGAUUAGAUGUAUCUUGGAGAUGUCUAUACAAUUAUGGGAGAAGAGUAUUGAGUAGAGAAUCAAGGAAAUGCAGAGACAGAGGAGGAAACUGUUUGGUGGGUUGUAUGAAGUUAGUUUGGCUUGUAACUUGGAUGAGUAGGUUCUUAAGUGAAGUGGUUGACUUAGAAUUAGAAUGAACAAAGAAGGGGAUUCUAGAGUUGAUUUAUUAUUACAUGAUUUUUAAUUUACUUUUCAGAUUGGAGGGGGAGUCAGUAAACAAAGUUAAUGUAUUUAAAAGAAUAUGUUGAAUCCAUUUUCUAUCUAAAUCCAUCAACAGUGAUGUGUUAGCUUCCUAAUAGUAAUUUUGCACCCUUCUCUUCAUCAAAAGGAAGUUACUUCGCUCCCAUUAGGUACCAAUGAUCAGCAUGUUGACCAAUGUCUCUUUUUUUUUUGUAAUGCGCUUGAGAUCAUUACGUAAAUGUGGAAGCUCUCAACUUCUUUGAACCAAUGUUCUUAAAACCGGAGAGGUACCCGAACCAGAAAGUUUUUGGAUCAUAGGUUAAUAUGGUUUGACCGGAUUCAACUUGGUUUGACGUGAGCUGCCUGAGAUGCUACUUUGUCAACUCCUUGUACUUUUCUACCACCCCAAUUAAGCAUACGGUCUGUAAAAAUUGCAACACGAGAAAAUUUAACACCCCAAUUAAGCAUACGGUCGAUAAUUAUUGGUACUAUACCACACGACAUCUAUAAAGCAUUUAAAUUAAAAUAUGCGCAGUAAUUAACAUUUUAGACAAAAAAACAAAUAAUCCACACGCCUGCGGGUAUAUGGAUAUAUACCGAUGGCUAACGAGCCUUAGAGUAACCCUCUUUCCGAAAGAGCAGAUUUCAUCGCUUUGAGUGAAUCAUCCAUAUCUUCUGAGGAUUGUCUAUGAUCAUAGGAUCAACCACUAACGAGAUUAUCAUCCUCCCCGUAUAACUUAAGCAAUGUAUCAAUAAUGCAACACAAACCUAAAUUCUAAAUGCAUGCUGCUUAUCAUGAUCUUACUAAAUGGUGAUAUGGAGUGUAGUUGCCCAAAAGUCAAUACAAAGGUGGCGGUGAUGCGUGCACAUUUUCAAGAUAUGCAGUAUUAUAUAUUGAAUGCAUUUAAUUGCUAAAAGUACCAGCCAUGUUGUUGAACAUAUGCAGUUAAUUCAUUUGGGGGACAUAUCAAUAACUGCCUACAAUUGGAUAGUAAUAAUUUUGAAUCAAAUUUGGGGUUCAUAUAUAUAUACAUAUAUAUAUGUGUCACUUUUAUGUAGUAUUUAUACACUUUAUUCUUUCAAUUAAUAUAAGCAAUUGGCUAAAAUGGAAUGAUCAACUUUUUAUCUAUAAAAUACAGGAAUCCGCUUACAAUCCAUAGAAUAUGUAUAAAUAAAAUUUAUUACAGAAUUCAUGCAUUAAACAUAAACUUUAUGCCAACAAAAUAUAUGAGAAAAUAAGCAUGAUAAAGCGAUUACUUUUUAAUUGGUUACUUAUAGUUACAUGUCACAUCCUUGAAUUAAUAAUGCUUUCUAGCUCAUAUUAAAUAGGACUGAAUAAUGAGAUAUCUAAAAUCUUUGACAUUUUGUAUGCAUUUUUUGUGUUCAACAACUAUGACCGGCCAAAUUAAAGCCCUCCAAACAAAACAUUUUUAGACCAAACAAAUAUUCAUCAACACGUCUACAGGUUUAUACAAAACAGAUACCAAUGGCUCUCACAAGCCUUAGAGUAACCCUCUUUCUGAAAGAGCAGCUUUCAUGUCUUUGAGUGACUCUUCCAUGUCAUCACAUAUCUUGUGAGGAUCCGGUAUGACUGUAGGGUCAACAGCCAUCGAGAUUAUCAUCUUCCCCGCAUAACUCAUGUAAUGUACCAACAAUGCCUAUCAAACACAAAAAUAACAUAAGUGUCGGAAGAAAAAAAAAGUCAUAAAAUGCGGGUUCACAAGCAAAGAAAGAUAAAACCGGGUAGGUAACUUUUUCCUAUAUAAACCAGACUUUUUCGAAAAAAGUUGUUCUUAUAAUCGUCUUUUUAUUUCGAUCAAAACUUGAUUUAAGAAAAUGAGUAAUUGACAAAACUACUUACUUGUGAUUGUCCAUAAUUACUUGGAGCGAUGUAAGCGAUAGGAUGGCCACGGAAACUGAUUUCCUCCAUUGGACCUAUGACGUUUGAAACGCAUGUAGUUAAAUUUACCACCGGUCGGUUAAAUAUGGCUGCUGCUGCCUAAUAUAGUGACAAAGAUUACGUCAAUAUUGUUAUUGUUAUCCUGAAAAUUGCAAACAAAUCUCUAAUCAAGUUCAUUGUCACUUUGUUUACCUUAGCUCCAAACACUUUUAAGAUAAUUUUGAUGAUAAAAUACACUAGUGCAGCGUGAUAAGAAUGCUUCUUUCGAGCCAUCGUGGAUUUGGAUAUCUUUAGAUAGACCAAAGGAUCGGUUUGUAAACCGAUGGAAAAGGGCAAAAUAAUAAAGCUGAAGUAGUUUCCCCAUCUGCAUUUUGAGUCCUUGGUCAUCAUAUCUGCCAAAGGCUUAAAUAUACAUAUUGCUCGUUAGUGACAACAAUAAAAGUUUAAAUUUGAUGAAGUGUAUAUAUACUAAAUAUGUCUCUAACCUUGAACCCGAUGUCCGACCUCAGAUUUACUGUACAACCUGCACGGAAACGUAGUUUACUUGGAAGAUGGUUCUGAUUCGAUGUCAAUACUCCUUCCUCCUCAUUCUUCUUACCUUGUUUAUUUAGAAAGAACAUUAAUAAUUAUGAUAAGUCAAUCGUUAGAAAAAAAAUAAUACCCUAUUUCAUAAUGUAAUGUGUACCAUUUGGUUAAAAACGCAAAGAUUAAUAAUUUUAAUUUUCUCUACAAAAUAUUUUAAAUAUAUAAAUUAAAACUAAUUUAAUCAAUCAUAAAAGAAACUAUAAAAUAUAACUGGUUAAAUAUAUUCUAAUAAAACUAAAGUUAACAUAAAAUGAUGAAAUAUUUUUCAUUUUUAACUAAGAAAAGUCUUCUACAACCCCAUUUAUUGUCAAGUGGAAGGAAUACACCAUAUGUUUUGAAUUUAAUGUUUACCAUAAAGUCGGUUCAAAUAGCGAGAAAGAGCAGCUUGUGUAACUCCGAGUAGAACAUCAUUGAUAGUCUAGCAACAGAAAAAAGAGACAAUAAAGAUCCACUGAAAAAGAUAGAAAAACUUUUAGUUAUGAACAUAAACCGUAACGUACCAUGUUCAUAGAGUUCUUUAUAAGUUUUAUGUCAUCCAAAGAGAUAGUUCUUCGAUAAAAUCUCGUUGGAUUCCUCCCAACAUCUGCGCCACCUUUUAAAGGUGUUUUUGUAUCCACCAAAAACAAGAUAGUCGCCAAAAGAAGCAACAUAUCCACAACGGUGUUCCAAAUCAGUCUCGUUGUAGAACCAACGGUGAAUAUAAACCUUAAAAACCAGCUUUGUUUUAUAAGUCCGUGCGGCACGGUUUGACGCCGUUUCAAGGAAGGAAUAGCAGUAUUGUCAGGGUCUGAUGUCUUAUGGGUACAUGCGAGCAUGAGAGAAAUCAAAGACAUACCAUCUCCCAAUGAAUGGUGAGAUCUUAUUACACCGACUGCUUCAGCAUCUGAGGUUUUUACGUUAAGGAUGUGCAUGUCCCACAAGGGUCUUGAUCUAUCUAGAGGAAUCGUCGUGAGACGUGAGAUGUAGUCAUCGACGAAGCUUUGUCCAUCUUCACCUAUCUCUUCUGGGUCUAUGUUUGGUACAAUUACAUGAUCUUCUACAUUGACUUGAGUCUCUAUCCAUUUUGCACCAUCCUCACUCUAUGAAGUUAAGACAAACGGAGAUCAAGGUGCGAAGAAUUUUAUAAAAAUAUAUUCCCCCAUGUUUCAGUUAAUUUCAUGUUUAUUUUUUUUUUUUUUGCAAAAUAAGUAAUGUUCUUAUUAUUCUAUAAAUAUUCAACAUCAUUUGAGAUUUAUGACCAAUUACAUACUGUAUUUUUAUUGGUUGAAUUAGCUUUUUAAUGAUAUUUUUAUAUAAUCAAGAUAAAUUGUAUUAAAAUAAUAUUUUUUAAUAUGUGUGUAUUAACCUUAAACAUCAAAUAAAUAAAAUAAAAUAAAAUAAAAUAGAUGAGAGUACAUGAUGUCUUAGUUAAAAAAAGUUGAGAACCAAUUAUUCUAUAAUUCUAUAGAAUAAUUCUAUAGUAUUUGAAAUAUAAUUCUAUAACAGUAAACUUUUAGAUUUUGGUCAUGUUCAAAUCCACUAAUUGUAAUAUGUUGUACCAGUUUGGUGGAAAAACGAGGAUGCUUGGAGACAUUAUGCUUCAAGGCAUCGAGAAGGACGUCCGGACAGAACUUGGUUUUGAAUCCCAUGAUGGUGACGGCACAGUAGUCUACCUCUGGAGACUGGAACACACGCGCCAUCGGGCUGAGCGGCUGCUCCUCCACCUCCUCCUCCUCCUUACUAAUUCUAACUUUCAUCUUCGAUCUAUGUUUCUUCUCUCCUCUUCUACAGUUAUUUAUAAAGUGAAUAUCUCCUCUUCUACAGUUCUUUAUAACGUGAAUAGGGGCAUAUAGUAUGAAGACUAUUUUGUUUCUAAAAAGAAAAGUAUGAAGACUAUAGGAACACGCCAUCCACAUAUAUCUUUACACUUACGAUUUAGUGCAUAAAAUAGUCAAAUAUCUUAAGUAUAGCUCUGCCCUUUGGUUUUGUUUUAUUCUACCAAUUAUAUGCGCCAGUUCUUAAAAUAAUUUAGAUUGUCCCGUGAUUAUAUGUAAUUUACAAUAGUAACAUUGCAAUUUUACCUUCAAUGUGACUUUGAUUGACGAUCAGCCAGAACAAAAAUGGUGGUGCCAUAUAUGCCUUACUCAAAAUUCAAAUUCUACCUAAAAAGGUAAGUGGUGCAAGCAAAUGUCCAUCAUGGAGUCAAUAAACUUGCCGUGGAGAUUGCAAGGAGUGUGUUAACUCGCGACAAAAGGUCGCUUAUGGAUCAUGUUUGGAAUCAUUUAUGUUGGUUGAUUAAUCCACUUGUUUUGUGUACCAAGUUUAAAAUCAUUUAUGUUGGUUAGACACUUUUAAAAGUCAACAAAAAUCAUAUUAUCUUAUAUCUAUAUUUUAAGUCUGACUUUGAAUUUGAUUUUUUCGACUAUGUUUUUAUUUUCCAUGUUUGGUUUGGAAAUAUAUACGGCUUCAUUCAUUUCUUUUUGUAUUCUAUAACAUUAUUUGUAUAUUUUGUCAAAAAUAGUUCAGAAAAGCUUUUAGUAAUAAGCUAAUAACAAAGUAAUCGUUUAUAUAUAAACUAUGUUAUUUUAAUCAGUUAUGCAUUUAAAAAAAUAAAAACCUUAGAAUUCACAAUACUUCAUAACAAAUAUGUCACUUUCAAUGUUUUUCAUGUGUGCUUUAGUAUUAAUCUCAUAUACGGAAACACCAUUAAAGAUAGAUCAUGACAUCUUGUCUUGGCCUUUUCUACAAUCUCUUGUUUGGUAAACUAUGCAUAUCUGCAUAUAUUACCACUGGACCCUUCUCUUAUUAAUUGGUGAUUGCCAAAAAAGUCAUGCCAAAAAGGUGCAGGUGCAGGUGCAGCACCAUAUUCAAAUUUAUUGAAUACAUCUAAAAGCUAAACAAUAAACAUCAAAACAGUUGGAGAAAGUGAGAAAACAUUAUCCAUAUAUUCUUUGGUGGCCAUAACUACACCUAUAAUUGGCAAGACGUUUUUGUUUGUUGGCCACACAAAAUUGGAAAAGAAGUUCCAAUAAAAUUGGUUGAGGAGACCAACUACUAUUGCAAAUUCUACAAGUUGUGAACGACACCAUGUUUGUCUUUUCGUUUGUUUGACAAUUGUUAUCUAGAACAUAAUAGAGUGGGUAUUAUUUAUAUAUAUAAUUUAAUUCAACACACAUAAAAAAAAAAAAAUUGCAAAAGACAAUUAAAAGAACUUCAACAGACAGUCAAGUAUGUCUGAAUGCAAAAUCAAUCCUAGCUUCUUUUUUUUUUUGUUCUUUUCAAAAAUCAAUGAAUUGAAAGAAUGCACAAUCAAAAGGGCUAAACAACAAGAACUGCAGAGAGGCCACACUGUCUUUCUCAUGACCCCAUGAAACCUUGAACACCACACAAAAAAAGGAAGAAAAAGGAAAUUAAAACAUGAAACUCUCUGUUAUAUGCAAGUCUGAGAAGUCCUACCUCACAAACAAAACGAUCAUACACUAGAGAGAACACUCCUCCUUCAUUACCUAAGUAAAUGGCUUGCACCUCAAGUCUUUCCAUGUUUAUUGUGUGACGUGUAUAUAUUCUCCACGAAUCCGAGAAUCUAAUAAUUUCAUCCACGCAGUAUCAGCCUGAGUAUUUGCAUAGGCGCCCUCAAAGCUGACGAUGUGUUAUUAUCGGUUGAGAUGUUUUUACCUUUGCAGGGUCUGAAAGCACAUCAUACGCUUCACCGAUCAUUUUAAACAACUCAUCAGCAAUCUCCUUCUUUGCAUUGAACCCUAACUUCUGUUCCAAGCUAGAAAAUGGGUUUGGCUUCGAACUAGGUGUCUUGAACUCUAGAAAACUGUUUUGAUUACUCGAUAAAAACUAAACUCGGCAGUAUUUUACUUUAGAGGUUGAAUCAUGAGCAUUUCUAGGAAUGGCAUGUUCACUUGGCUUCUCUCUAUCAUUACCAUGUUCAGUACAUUUCAAAACAUGAUUAUGUCUCUUUGAAGAUUCAACACCUGUUCUGCUUUUUUCUCUGCCUUGUGCCCUUUCAGAAAAAAUACAAACUUCUUAUCAUUGCAUUUAUACUUAGACUGCGAGUCUGUGACAGGUUACAUAUGGAUUCACAUUCACAUAUCUUACACAUUUUUCUUUCACUUGGUCAAAGUAUAAAGGAAAAAACAAACAAACAAGCGAGCGAGCUCAAUCUCUGUAGUAACACUUUCUGCUCAAAAAAGCAAUUGAUUAAACAAACGUAUUUUUCCAAAUUUCCAAAAGAAUAAAAACAAAACCUACUGACUACUAUUUCCCCUGUCUCCAAAUCUAACACCUAAAAGAACUCGUCUCUCUUUGUACAUAGUAACUGUAAAACCACAUGAUAUGGAACUCUGACAAGAACAACUAAGCAACACACAAAACCAAAGCGUGUCUCUCUCUCUUUCUCAGAGCUUUGGCUGACUAUGAUGCACCUUAAGAAUCAACUGGUUGUUCAGAGCCUGAUGAGUUGGUUGCUGAACUCCUUUCUCUCCUCGCUGCUGCUGCAUCCUCUGCUGCUUCUGCUUCACUUUUCUUUGCAAACCGGCCUCCACUAGCCCUCACCCUUUUCAUCGCAUGCUUGUGUCUCGACUCAUGAAGAUAAGGCUAAUCACACAAGAGGAAAAACUUAUUCAAAUGACUAUACACCAUGCUUAGAUUCCCAUCCGGUGCUGCCACCUUAUCUAUUUUAUUCCAUUUGCCUAUAAGAUACAAAUCUUGAUAAAUGGAAAAGAAUACCUUUCUGUUGAUGACUUUCCUCUCUAGCUCAGCCUUGGCACGUGCUUUCCUUCGCCUUAGAAUCCCCUCGUACUGUUUUGCAUUCACAUAAACAGGUUCUUGUGUCGUGUCUAGUGGCAGAGCUGUUCUUUCACGAGCCAUUCCAGGAUAUGGACGAAACCCCUGCUUAAAAACCAUAUUAGACUUAGAUACUCAAAAUCUCACUUCCCUCAUAUAAAAAAUAAUAAUAAGAGACAUACCAAUGGUUGAUGAUGACCAUAUGCUCCCAUCAUUCCUCCAUAAUAUGCAUCCUGAUAUGGAUUUGGAACACACGCCUGUUAAAAAAAAGAAGUAAUCAAGUUAAUGGCUAAAGAACUGACACAUCAUACAAUAUACUCAAGGGAAUAAGAGUAAACCACAUACAAUGUAGUGUCCAACAAGCUCUGGUGGUUGUACAACUUGCUGAUCAUCCAUAGAAUGCGUUGGAUCAUUCCCUUCUUCUCCAUGGUUAUCUACUGAAAUUCACAUAGAAAUAUAAAACCCAAUAUUCAUAACGACAUUGCAGAAGAAUAUGAUUAUGUUGAGAGUCACAAAAACCUGGAGGAGGAGGAGGAGAAGUAGCAGCUUGUGAAUCCUUACAAGGGCCACCGUCGUCUUCAGAUGGUGAAUGAACAUCGUUUGAUUCUGAACCAGAAGGUCUCUCUUGAGGAAGGACACCACCAAAGGAGUUGUUUUUCCACCAAGGGUCUGGAUACAUCAUCAUGGGUUGCUGCUGGUUCACUUCCUCUUCAUUUCCUCUUCCUCCCGAUUUGGAUUGCAUCUCUCUUCCAAAAAAUCAACACAAAGGUGAAAACUUUAAAACUUCAUUCUCAAUCAAUCAUUAAGCAAUGCAGAGAGACAUGCACAACACUCAAAAGGUGGAAAACUUUAACAUACCAGAUGAUGAAGUGAAAGCUUAGCAAUAAUCGUUCUUGUGUUAGAAGAUUUAAAGCCCUGAGGGGUUAUGUAAUCGAUCGCAAUUUAGCGGAGCUUCUUAAGGGGAAAGAACAAAAAGAAUCAGAAUUUAAACAAAAGCCAGAGAAGAAUUUGGGGAAGGUGAAGUGAUUUGGGAACACCCAACAGCCGGCAGACAGUAACUGAAACUCGUAGAAGACGAAUAGGAUUGGGUAGAAAGAUUUUUUUUUUUUUUUUUUUUUUUUUUUUGUCACUAAAUAUCAAUUGAAAAUAAGCCCAAAAGGCAAUGUCGGCCCACUAGGGAGAUGAAAUUACACAGAAACAUUUCUAAGGGCCUGUUUAGCCAAUAGAUCUGCCUCUUCGUUGUUCUUACGGGGAAUAUGAAAAAAGGAGAUAGAAACAAAAUCAGAAGAGAUUUCUUGAAUAUCUCUGACGAUACCCACAAUCUCUUUCAUCUGAUGUUUGUUGUUGAUUGCUGCUAUGAGCGUUGAAUUGUCGGAGCAAACUUUGAGCUUUGGGAGCUCCAGUGUUGCCGCCAUGCAAAGACCCGAUCUCACCGCUAAAGCUUCCGCGAUCAGUGGUGAGUUGACGAAGUCUUGUGUGGUAGAUCCUCGAUCUGGUGAUGGGAGCGUGACCCCUUUGAAUACCCAAGCCAGCCCCGCUCUUCGCUGUUCCUUGUUCCAUGCUGCAUCGGUUCUGCACUCAAUUAGAUUCUGUACGGGAGUGCUCUGGUUCUGUCUCAUUUGAGGUAACCCAUGUUCCCUUGUCUGAUGUGCUUGUUGAGCGUUCUUCCAUUCUCGGGCUAAGCCUAAAGCUUUUGCUGCAACCUUGCUAGGCCCUAGACAUUUUUCUUCAAAAAUCAGUGAAUUGCGAUCCUUCCAAAUUGACCAGCAUACCCAAGGCAUGAUGUUUGUCGUAACUCCUGUCGGUGGAAGACAUGUAGCCUUGCGGAAUCGAGUUAUGGCUGCUUUGAAAGUCUCUCCUACAGCUAUGUGAACUGUAUCUUUUAGGGGGACAUUAUCCCAAACUUUCCUAGCAAACUCACAGAGGAAGAAGGUAUGCAUCGGUGUUUCAGGUUCCUUACAGCUAUGUGAACUGUAUCUUUUAGGGGGACAUUAUCCCAAACUUUCCUAGCAAACUCACAGAGGAAGAAGAUAACACUGGUUUCUUUUUCUUUUAGGUGGGCAUUCGAUCCUUAUCCAAACUCGAACCGAAAAAUCCAAACCUAGCAAAAUACCAGAACGGAUAUUGAAUUAAUAAAGAUUGGAUAUCCGAAUCUGAAUGGAUAUUUGAAGAUAACCAAACAUAUGAAUACUUGACUUUAUAUUUGUAGUUUACUUCUUUAUUUUUUUCAAAAUAUUUAUAUUGAUUAUAUGCACAUGGCUUAAAAUCAAAUAAUAUAGAUAUAAUUAUGAACAAAAUCAAUUGUUAUUCGCUUAAACUAUAUAUAUAUAAUGCUAUUGUUUCUUACAUUAACUUGCAUCCAAAAUUUUAUUAUAACAACUAAAUUAUUGUCUUUCUAUUUUAAAGUAUUAUCUUGAAACCUAUUAAUAGUUUAAUUUAUUAAAAAAGUUAGAAAAUCGGUUAAGUUAAAAAUAUAAAUUUUAAAUACACAAAACUUAAACAAUAAACAAUUUAUUUUUUUUUCCUUCAAAUUUUAAAUAUUCAAACCCGAUCCGAAAUAACCGAAUUCGAAUUAAAAAUAUCAGAAUCAAAUCUGAAAUGUAAAAAUAACCGAACAAGUAUUAUAUAUCUAUAUUGAAAUACUCGAAAUACCGAAAUAGCUGAUCUGAAUCCGAACGAGUAUUCGACCGUCCCCCUAGUAAUUUCUAAUUUCGUAAACUUAGGAAUGUUAUUUUGACACGUGGCGGCCUUUGGAAGAGGCCAGCGCUCGGAGAUCUGUGAUUUUUCGCCGGGUGAUGUCACCAUAGGUUCAUUUUUUCUCCGGCAAAAGCUCGGAAGUGACACGCAAAGUGAUCGGGUGAAACGAGUGACACGUGGAAUUUGUGGGGACUAUAUGGCCCGAACAGUUUCACUUUUUUUUGGAAAAUACUGUUCUUUUUGUUUCUUUUUCUUUGGCAUUCAGGAUGAAGAAUUUUAUUUUUAUUUUUUCAAAUGUUGGUUGUUACUGGUGCGGUAAAUAUUUCAUUGAAACACGUGAACAAGGUUUGAGAAGUCUCCUAUGGUCAUUUAGACUCAUUACUCUAUCCUGUUCAUAGAGCUAGGCAAUGGUGUGCUUAUUUAUGUUCGGUUAAUAAGAUGGUUGUUGUUGGAAUGCUUUGUCGCUCUUGCGUCAAGUGUUUAAAUAUUGCGACAGUAAAUAUAUGGUAUGCAUCCUUACAAAUUAGCACUUAGCGAGUACACAACAUGUUCCAUCUUUAGUUUGUUAAAUAUGUUCUCCUUGAGAUUUUGAUACAGUUUAACAUGCAAGGCACUUGAAGCCUCAGCUAGGUGGUGGGUGGUAUUAGAGCAUAUGAUUUACAUUUGAAUUGCCUCUAAUUAGGGAUGUCAACAGAAGGCUUGUCCCGCGGGCCUGGCCCGUUUAAACCUGUCGCGGGGCGGGUUUGGGCCUAGGCAUUCAUGACCCGCAAAAAAGCGGGCCUUACGGGACAGGGCUUGUUCGGUUCCGGGUCCAAAGCGGUACGGCCCUCAUUAACCGCGGGACGGCCCAUAGAACCGCAUCUGGAAGCUUCGUCGAUUCCGUUACUUUCUUCACCUGAAAACGAAAAGAAAGAGAGAGUGAAAGGCAUUGGAGCUUCGACGACGACCGUGAGAAGAAACGGAGCUCCAACGAUGGCCGUUCCUGUUCGAUGUCUGACAGGCGACAGUGCUUCCGCCUUCCGGUGACCACAUCGUGCUCGAGCUGCAUCAGCAGAGCUUCUUUACAUGCAUUGGUGAUGACGAGGUUGAUGAUGGGAGGAAGAAAGUUACAAUCUUUUUCGGUACACAGACGGGAACUGCUGAAGGGUUUGCUAAAGUGAGUUGCUUUGAUUCAAAACAGAGCUUUGAUUCAAAACAGAGUGAAGAUGAUGAAAGCUAACUUUUUUUGAUAAAUUUUUAGGCUUUAGGAGAAGAAGCUAAAGCAAGAUACGAGAGAUCAGAUUCAAAAUCGUUGAUUUGGUAUAAUACCCUUUAAUAAAGCUUAAACAUUGCUUUGUUGUUAUUUCGAUCUGGUUCUGAUUUGUUUUAACAGGACGAUUAUGAUGCUGAUGAUGAUGAGUACGAGGAGAAGUUGAAGAAAGAGGAUAUGGCUUUCUUCUUCUUAGACAGAGGAUAAUGGCUCAAGUACUUGAAGUAUGGUGUUUUUGGAUUAGGAAACAGACAAUAUGUGUUGCAGGUUGCCAAAGUUGUAGAUGACAUUCUUGUUGAACAAGGUUUGUUUUAUUUCUUUGUUUUGAUCAUUCGUUUUGAUGUGUUUGUAUUAUUGUUUUCUAACAUGAUGACUUGGUUUGUUUCAGGUGCACAGCGUCUUGUACAAGUUGGUCUUGGAGAUGAUGACCAGUGUAUUGACUAUUCCACAUUGGUUGAGACUUCGCUUUUCACGGACAGUAACCAGUCCAUUGUUGUUUGAUCUUCUCGUUUAUUGUUGGUAAGUUGAAGUGUGAACUUUUACUAAUUGUCUUAGCGUGAUUAUUAGGUUGAUGCUAAGUUAGACAUGCAUUUAUAAUUUCAAUAGACAAAAUUAACUUCAAGAACUUAUAUGAAAUGUAAUGGACUCAAAGAACAAUAUAUAUAGUGAUUUUGAAGAGUUUGAGGAGUAAAUGCUUCAUUUUUAUUAAUUAUGUGAGCUUGGUUGUGUAGGGCAGCAUCCUGCAGCAUCAGGAAGUGUUCUGGAGCGUUAGAAAGUGUUCUGGAGCGGCCUGAAGUGCCAAGCAUGAUCGGAUACACUACAUUGACGUAUGUCCCGCGGGACAGCCCGCAAAGGAGUGUGCAUUUGGCGGUACGGGCUUGGGACGACCUUUUGGAGACCGCAACCCGCGCGGGCCUGGCCCGCCGUGACCCGCAAAGAGAUGAGCCCGCUGCGGUACGGGACGGGAUGGGACGGAUCAACCCGUUUGACAUCUCUACCUCUAAUGAGUGAUUUAGUCAAUUAAUUAGCAAAGCAUAUCUUCUACCCGUGGCGGAGCCAGCUCAACCUUUUACUAUGGUCAUUUGCGUAAUUUUAUUAUGUUACAUGGGUCAGUAGUUUAAAUCUUUUAUAUUUUUCUUUCAGUUUUGUUUCAAAAUACAAAGAAAAUUUUUCUUUUAUUUUAAAAUCCAUAUGAGACAUAUGAUCACCCUCGGCUUAAGCUAGCUCUGCCACUGUCUGCUACAUCCGUUACAUCACUGAACUAUAUUGUUGUAUUUUAAUCCCACUAGAACAUGAAGUAUCAGAUAUGUAGGACAAUUAAUGUCUUCGUCUUUCAAAAGAGAGGUAUGUAUGUGACUAACAAGAUUAAACCAUAUGUUUUAGCUGCGAUUUGGUUUUGAUCUAGGCGUAACCUAAACAUGAGUAGAUAAAAUAAUAUUUCGAGGCAUGACAAAAACCCCUCCAUCAUGCAAUUCUGGUACGAGAGAACCAAAACUCAGUCAUGAUCUCAAUCUGUUGUUACAUUCGAACAGUACCAACACGUAACUCGUCUAAGACUUUAAAGUUUGUGCUCCAUAUAUAUAUAUAUAUAUAUAACCAAAUUCGACUGUUAGCUAAAAGCUCAACCUCAAUCCUAUGUCUAACAUUGUAUUAUACAUAAAUAUUUUUUUGAUAAAAGAUUAAAAUUUAGACAAUUUCUCGAUUUGUGCAUGUUAUUCUUGUGCAGGGGCCAUGCUAAUUUUCUCUAUAUCAUUCCAAUUUUAUCAGACGUCCCCGACUCCCCGAUAAGAGCCACAUUCUAAGAUAACCAAUCCUCCAAUAGAUACUGAAUAAUGAAUUGAUAGUGGUCACCUUUUAUUACUUCAGUAAUCACCUACGUACGUAGCAUAUGCGGUUUAUAAGAGAUUAUUACACGCAAAAAGCCAAAAACACAUUCAAAUUUUAUAACGAAAUCACACAAGGCAUACAUGUAUCAUAUGAUUCAUAUCUAUCGAAUUAAAGAAAAUGCGAUCACUCAAAUUGUCUACAAAUACGCCUAGAAACAAGUAACAAAUAAAGCAUAUUAUAACAUUAAGUUUUUUACUAGUUGUUUGAUUAUUUCUAGUAACGGAAAUGUUCAGCCAAAUUUACUUUGGAUUCUUUUCUACUUUCAUCAACUUGAGAAAAUUAGUUUUUUUUUUAGCUUAAAACAAGAAAAAUGUGAAAACAGAGGAUUUCCUUCUUCAUAAAACUGACGAGAAAAGGAUUUAAAAUCAUCUACCAUUGUUUUUUCUUCUAAAUUUAUAUAUAAACUGACGAGAAAAGAAUGUCACUUGAUUUUGGUGUGCCUUAGGAUACAUUAGAACACUUUUAGUGGAAGUUAAUAAUUCAAGAUCCUCACUUCAUAUUUAUAAUAAUAAAAAAAAAAAUUUUGGGUUAAAUUUUCAUCAUUUACCUAACCAAUAUUUAUCAUUGUUUUUCACUUAAUACUUUUUUGAGAUCCUUGUAAUAAUGUUGCUCUAAUAUCUCAAUUAUAAAAUUCACAAAAUAGUUAGUAUUAAAAAAAUAUUCUCAAUUUAAAAUAUAAAAAAGGGGGGCCGAAAGACCUGCAGCUUGACCACCGAAAGUCAGCGGAGUCCCCGCUCCUUCACAAUCCAACGGCUCUGAUUUCAAGAAUCAGAUUCCUUUUUUUUCUCUACGUGGAUUUCAAAACCUGUAUUCCAAUACGCUUAAAUAUUCCCCCACGCGCCCGCCACCUCCUACCGCUUUAUCCCGUCACAUCCGCUUCAAACCUCUUUAACCUCCCCACUCUACCUCUCACCACCUCUCCCGGUCACACCAGUUUAACUCUCUCAUCCGUUUUCGAUUUUUUUUUCUCUCUCUCUCAGCUGAGGUUGAUCGAUCUUCUUCCUUCUCCUCGUCCCUUUGGAUCUGGGAAUGUGGUUCUGUCUUUCGGACAUUUAACGUUUAGAUUCAGACAGCCUCUGAUCUUCCGACAAGGGUAAGUUGGAUCAGAACUUUCGUUAUUAUUUAAUUUUAAUUUUAAUUGAGUAUUGGAAUAUGAUGUGUUGUUUGUUCGAUGUAUUCUCAAUCUGAAGAGCUUUCAGCUUGAGUUUUCGAGAUUUCUAUAGUCGUUGACUAUUCAUUGACUUACUUUUAAGAUCUUUUAAUUUUUCUUAUAUAUAUUAAUUUUGGUUUUAAGGUAGUUGGUCUUAUGAAUCAUCUGUUCUUAAAAAAGUUGUUCAUCUGUUUGGUUGGUAGGAACGUUAAUGUUAGAUGAGUAUGUUCGUCUGAACUGAACUGAAUCUGUUGUUUCUUAGUUUUUUUUUUUAAAUUUCCUUCUUUUGGGUUUAGCCUUUAUAAAUUGAUUUUAUUCAGAAAAUUUUCAGACUUUAUUAGAUCUGAUUGUGAAAGAUUUAAUCUUUGAGUUUUCUUCUAAGUAAAUCUUCUGACUUUAUUUUUUUUUACUUAUCAAAUUUGUUUCCUUUAUUUCCUCGGUCAAUUUAUUUAUUUAUUUGCCAAAUUUUUAUUGCAGGCAUACGUUUAUAUUAAGCAUGUGUGGUCUCUUUAAGAAGCUGGACACAGAGAACAACGCUCUCUCACAUUCUUUGUCCAAACCCAUGAACGAUGCUGCUGAGUGUGAACAUUCGUUUUCCGCUUUACUUGAAUUCGCUGCAGACAACGACGUGGAGGGUUUUAAGCAUCAACUCUCUCUUGUCUCUAGCAUCAACCAGGCGUCUCUCUGGUACAGACGCCAGAGGCUUAUUAAAAGAAUGGUCGUUGAGCAAAGAACCCCGCUCAUGGUUGCUUCUCUAUACGGAAGCUUAGACGUUGUGAAGCUUAUUCUCUCCUUCCCUGAAACUGAUCUGAAUCUCACUUGCGGUCCGGAUAAAAGCACUGCUCUCCACUGCGCUGCCUCUGGCGCUUCUGUGAAGGCCCUGGACGUUGUCAAGCUGCUUUUAAGCGCAGGAGCGGAUCCAAACAUCAUUGAUACUCAUGGGAACACUCCCGUUGAUGUUCUUGUUGCGCCUCGUGGUUUGAGAACGGUCCUUGAGGAGAUUUUGAAGAAAGAUGAAGAUCUGUCGUCUAGCUUGGGGUCGAGUUUCAGGUCUCUCUCGUCGUCGCCUGAUAACGGCUCCUCCUCUUUACUCUCUUUGGAUUCAGUGUCUUCUCCAACUAAGGCAGAGAAGAAAGAGUACCCGAUUGAUCCAUCUCUGCCAGACAUCAAGAGUGGAGUUUACUCCACAGAUGAGUUCCGUAUGUUCUCGUUCAAGAUCCGUCCCUGUUCUCGAGCCUACUCCCACGACUGGACCGAGUGUCCCUUCGCGCAUCCGGGGGAGAACGCAAGGAGGAGAGACCCGAGGAAGUCUCACUACACCUGCGUCCCUUGCCCGGAUUUCAAGAAGGGCUCAUGUAAGCAAGGGGACGCGUGUGAGUACGCUCACGGAGUUUUCGAGUGCUGGCUGCACCCUGCUCAGUACAGGACGCGUCUGUGCAAGGACGGGACGGGUUGUAACCGGAGGGUUUGCUUCUUUGCUCAUUUAAAGGAAGAGUUACGUCCUGUGUACGCUUCCACAGGCUCUGGCUUGCCGUCGUCUCCUCGUGGCUCUAUGGACAUGGCUUCUGUUUUGAACAUGUUACCAGGCUCACCUUCUGGUGGUGCUCCGAGCUCUCCUUCUGGAAACGGUGUUUCAUCUAUGUGUUGGCCUCAUCAGAACGUGGUGCCUGCGUUGCAUCUCCCUGGAAGCAAUGUUCAGUUGAGCCGUCUGAGGUCUUCUCUAAACGCGAGAGAUAUGCUGCAAGAGUUUGAAAUGUCGUCCAGUCCACGGUUUAUGAAUCAUUUCUCAGCUGCUGAGGUUUCGUCUUCGUCUCCUCGUUUCUCUGAUCAGCUUGCUGUCUCAUCUGUUCUAUCACCAUCCCACAAAUCCGCGCUUCUUAAUCAGCUACAGAGGGAUAAGCAGCAGAGCAUGCUUUCUCCUAUUAGGACGAAUCUAAUGUCUUCUCCAAAUAAUGUAGAGCAGCGAGCCAUGGAGCCUAUUUCUCCAAUGAACGCUCGGAUGAAACAGCAGCAGCAGCUGCAUCAUUCGCGUAGCCUUAGCUCCCGUGAGUUUGGAUCCAAUCUGCCACGUGAUAUGAUGAUGCAGAGUGAUUCUGGCUCCCCGCUGAGUCCAUGGUCGAGUUGGGACCAGAACCAUAAGGUGGACUGGUCGGUGCAAUCCGAUGAGUUAGGGCGGUUGAGAAAAUCUCAUUCUUUGGCUAAUAACAAGGAAGCAGAUGUGACAUGGGUUCAGCAGAUGGUAAAAGAGACUGCAUCGCCUAGGAACAUGAAUGGUGCAAGGCCAUUGGUUCAAGGUGGUUUGAGUGGGGAUCCUCACAGAGACGGUCGUGAGAGUGACAUUCUUGAUGCGUGGCUCGACCAGCUGCAGCUUGAUCGCUAACUCAGUGAGAGAGAGAGAGAGAGAGAGAGAGAGUGGUUGAUGUUUCUGUGAAGCUGGGACAAAAUCCUGGUAAGUGCUUUUUCGAUACUAAUAACACCAAAAGGCUCAGUUUGAUUUUUUCAGACUUCUUUCUGAAAUUUCAUUAAUUUGUUGUAAUUUUUACCUCAUUAAAUUGAUUACUAUCUCUUCAGUUGUAGCAAAGGGGGAAGUGUUCCUCUUUGUCUAUGAUUAUUUCCUGUAUUUUUGUUUCUCAGUUAUUUGUAAUAUCUCAUUCAUAUUUGUCAAUGAACAAUGUAUGAGAAAAUAAUAACAUAUUGUUUCAGGUAAUAAGAUUCAUUCAUUUCCUUUUGGUUUUGUUCUGUGUUCGUCUGUUGAUACUCUUAACAGCUUUUAUAGAGUAAAGUCACGAUCAAGUAAAGGUGGUGAUCUCGCUUAAUACAAAAUUGAUGCAACUUAAAGAGAUCUGGUUACACCUCAAAAUGCGAGAGAAAAUAAAAAAAUCCAUAGCUCAAACUCUCUUAUAAGUCCUGAUAUCAAUCAUUAUCAAAUCUGAUACUCAAAAUCCAUUCUGAGAGAUUAUGUACAAGGAAAAGAUUGUGAAUGUUGAUGUGUGGUAGUCCUCAGUUCGCACUACAAGCCAACAAACUUCCACCAGGCUCUAUUAUAGUGUAGUGUACAUAUUAACAAUUUGACAUAAGUCAACACAUAGAUUUUUAGAAAAUUUCAAAAAAUAUGACAAUAUUGUUUUAAUGCAAAGUUGCAUCAUGCACUAACAUAUGAUGAUGUUCAAAGAGAUUUGGAGCCUUUGGUGUCUCUGUUUUUCAAAAAAAUAGUGAUUUUAUAGUGGUUAUUUCAUCGAUUUAGAGAGUAUUAUAAAGUUUCACUAAAUUAAUGGAUAAAUAAAUUAUAACGAUUCCCAUAUAAUAUGAAAAAGAGAUUAAAAUACAUUAAUACAAAUGUAGAAUAUGGUUGAAAAUUUUAAAACAAUACUAAAGAUUAUAGGCUUCAAUAUACAAAACAUUUACCAAAAACUCAAUAUUUUCGUAGGGGUGUUAACACAUAGAUUUUGAGAAAAUUUUAAAAAACACGACAAUAUUGUUUUAAUGCAUAGUUGCAUCAUGCACUAACAUAUGAUGAUUUUCAAAGAGGUUUGGAGCCUUUGUUGUCUCCGUUUUUCAAAAAAUAAUGAUUUUAUAGUGGUUAUUCCAUCAAUUUAGGGAGCAUUAUGAAGUUUUACUAAAUUAAUGGAUAUAAAAAAAAUUAUAAUGAUUCCCAUAUACCAUGAAAAAGAGCUUAAAAUACAUUAAUACAAAUUUAGAAUAUGGUUAGAAAAUUUUAAAACAACACUAAAAAUUAUAAUCUUCAGUAUAUAAAACAUUUACCAAAAAUUUUAUAUUUUCGUAGGGGUUGUUAACAUAUAGAUUUUGAGAAAAUUUCAAAAAAUAUGACAAUAUUAUUUUUAUGCAUAAUUGCAUCCUAGGCUAACAUAUGAUGAUGUUCAAAGAGGUUUGGAGUCUUUGUUGUCUCUGUUUUCAAGAAAAUAGUGAUUUUAUAGUGGCUAUUCCAUCGAUUUAGAGAGUAUUAUGAAGUUUUACUAAAUUAAUUGAUAAAAAAAAUUAUAAUGAUUCUAAUAUACCAUGAAAAAGAGCUUAAAAUACAUUUAUACAAAUUUAGAAUGUGGUUAGAAAUUUUAAAACAACACUAAAGAUUAUAGGCUUCAGUAUAUAAAACAUUUACCAAAAAACUCAAUAUUUUCAUAGGGGUUAUAACACAUGGAUUUUGAGAAAAUUUCAAAAAAUACAACAAUAUUAUUUUAAUGCAUAGUUGCAUCCUGCACUAACAUAUGAUGAUGUUCAAAGAGUUUUGGAGUCUUUGUUGUCUCCAUUUUUCAAGAAAAUAGUGAUUUUAUAGUGGUUAUUCCAUCGAUUUAGGGAGUAUUAUGAAGUUUUACUAAAUUAAUGGAUAAAAAAAUUAUAAUGAUUCCAAUAUACCAUGAAAAAGAGCUUAAAAUAAACUAAUACAAAUUUAGAAUAUAGUUAGAAAAUUUUAAAACAACAUUAAAAAUUAUAAGCUUCAAUAUAUAAAACAUUUACCCAAAACUUUAUAUUUUUGUAGGGGUUGUUAACAUAUAGAUUUUGUGAAAAUUUCAAAAAAUAUGACAAUAUUGUUUUAAUGCAUAGUUGCAUCCUGCACUAACAUAUGAUGAUGUUCAAAGAGGUUUGGAGCCUUUGUUGUCUCUACUUUUUAAGAGAAUAGUGAUUUUAUAAUGGUUAGUCCAAUAAUUUAGGGAGUAUAUAAAGUUUUACUAAAUUAAUUUAUGAAAACAAUUGAACGAUGCUCAUUUACCAUGAAAGUUUAGCAUACAUUAAUAUAAAUGUAGAAUGUGGUUAUAAAUUUUAAAACAACACUAAAGAUUAUAAGGUUCAGUAUAUAAAACAUUUACUAAAAACUCAAUAUUUUCGUAGGGGCUUAACACCAAGCCAAAUAAGAAUGUUGACUAUUGAUAUCAGGAAGCUAAUGUUCCUGUCACAUCAGCUCAAGGCUAUGGUGACUCCUUGAGGAACCAUAUUAAAAAGUUCUUGAAAUGUUUAAAAAUGUUCGUAAAUGUAUGUGUGUUUAUUCAUCUUUUAUUAAGGGGUAUUUUUUUGUUUACAUUGACUAAUCAUUACAUAUGGCACGUCAAGCCCUAGUAUUAUUCAAAACAAAACACUCUCUACCUUUUCAGUAUCUAUCUAUGACAAUGUAUAUAUCGGUAUUUGCGUUUUGUGUGUGUGGCUAUGAAUCUUAGUAUAUUCGGCAACAGGAAAAAAAUCAUAUGCUUUGCUUGAAGUUGAAGUAAAACGAAGGCGCCUCAGUGUUCAUCAACUGGUCAAGGUCCCAAUAUUCUUCCAUUCUCACACCCUCAGGUACGUUUCCAGCCCCAUUAGUGUUCAUGUCGUCAUCUAAGUGGUUGGUAAUAUCUGCGUUGUACCAGUCGCCUUCUUCACAUUCCAAAGGUGGAAAGUAGAGUUCCCCUUGUACUCCUGUGUUUAUUCCGCAGAAACCAUCUACAUAAGGGGGAAAGUCGUCAUUAUACGGGUGGCUGAUCAGUUGUGGCGCUGGGAAUGGAUUGUUGUUGGUUGGCAUGUUGGUAAAAGAGGGGUUGACGAAUCCUUGUUCUUGUAAGGACAUGAAGCUUCCUAUAAUGUCUUUAAACUCCAAAGACGAGGUGGAAUUAGAAGACGAGUCACUUGCUUUGGGUGAUGAGGAUGAGUUGUUGACGGAGUUGGAUGUGUCGGAUAAUUUCUUUAGCCUUUUCUUUAUUGUUGAGUUCCAAAAGUUCUUGAUCUCGUUGUCGGUUCGACCAGGCAAUCGUGCUGCAAUCUGAGACCACCUAUUAAAUCGAUGAAUGAGAAGAAAGAGAGUAGACUAAUUCAAUGAGACGUGGUAUGUAAUUAAAUUUAUAAAAGUGCAUUGUUUGCAUGGGAAUUAGAAGCAAAGUACGUGAAAGAAAAUUACUGCAACUACUAUAAAACAAAUACAUUUGCGUUCAAAUAAAUUGUCGUUAAAUGAUUUCACAUAAGUUUCGAAAAAAAUAUGUAAUUUAAUUUUAUUAAAUUAACUAACAAAUACUAAAGAUAAGUAUACAAUUAAUAGAAAAUGUAUAAUUGUUUUCACGAAGUCAUGUCCAACGUGAAGUAUAAACUCAAAAAAAUGUAUGUUUCUGUAGGAAGUGACAGGAAAAAAAAUAAAGUGUAUAAUUAGAAAAUAAAAGUUGAAGUAAAACCCUAAAGAAGAAAAGAAAAGGUGAUAAAGACACAAAAGUCGGUUUCACGAAAACAAGUUUUUUUUUUGUAAGAGCACUCUCUUAAGUCUUAACACUCACGAUUAACGGACUCUGACCACUCACAUAAGGACAUAAUUACACGUGAAUGUACUCAUUCCUAGUUUGGUUAUUGCGUCUACUUUCUAAUGCUACUAUAAUUAUAAUUGGAUCAAUUUUCUUCUUAAAAAAUCAUUCAUCUCUUUGAAUUUUAACAGUUAUCGUCCCAGUGAAAAUUCGAACCAAACUCUAUUUUCAACAUGAAGUUCGAUCAUAUCUUUUUAGGAUUUGUAUAUCAUGUAUCGUAUAUAGUCACAAUAGAGCAUACACACGAACUGUUUAUGUUAACUCGCUAUAGCCUAUAUGUAUAUAGAUUAGCUCACAUCUUAUAUGUUUUUUUUUUUCUAAAGAACUUAAAAAAAAAACACACACACUGACACACACACACAUUUCUUAUAUGUUUAACCGGUCGAAAAACACACACACAUGCUAGUUGAUCUAAUUCAACAAUUUGAUCGUUUUAAUUAAGGUGGACUUUUGUUCUUGCUCAGUUGGCUUGGCUUUCUCUAUAUAUGCGUUUUUACAAUUUACCCAUAAACCAAAAAUUACCAAGACAAUUUUAAGCAAUAUUUACCUAAAACAUGCUAGUUGGUAUAAGAAAAUUUAUCCAUUAUAGUUACCUUUUUAAUUGAUAACAUGUAAAACAACCAAAACGAUUGCAAAAAUAUAUACCUGUUGCCGAGAAUGGAAUGAAAACGAAUGAUGAGUUCCUCUUCCUGAGGAGAGAAAGCGCCACGCUUGAGGUCAGGACGAAGAUAGUUGAUCCAACGAAGACGGCAGCUUUUGCCACAUCGUUGAAGGCCUGCGUUUUUGGCUACAUCGCUCCAACAUCCUUGCCCAUUGGUUAUCAUAUAUUGCAUCAGCUUUGAGUCUUCCUCUGGAGACCAAAGCCCCUUCUUCAUCUUCUUUACUUGAUGAGUGACUACAUUUGCUACCUCUGGUUUUCUCAUCUUUUUUUUUUGUUGAGUUAAUUGUUUCUCUUAAUCUUUCUCAAGGCUCGAUCGAUUUGUUGAUGUGAACCAGUGAAGUUUGUUUUUAUAACAGAGAGAGAGAGAGAGAAAAGAGAGAAGACUUGAUGAAGGGAGAAUGAUGAUGAUGAGGAAAGGGAUGGUUGUAUGGUUUGCUUACAAUUCUAGGAAGACAAACCAAUUUUUCAAUUUUCAUCUUCUCCCUUUUUAAUAUAUACUAGAUUCUAACCCGCGCUGUUGCGCGGGAUUUUUUAUAUUAAUAUAUAUAUAUAUAUAUAUAAUAUCUGUUUUUAAAUAAAAAAAUUAUAAUUUGAUGAUAAUUUCUAAAUUUCGGUUUGCGUCAAAAUUGUAUUUUUUGGUUUUUAGUUUGGUUCUGGUCCGAUUAUAGAUUUUUUUUGGUUCAAGAAAUAUAGUAGUGGCAUGGUUAUUUAUAAUUUUGGGUUUGAUUGGGUUUUGUUAUUUUCGUUUGGUUCAAAUAACAAUGUUAGGAACCUGAUAAAAUUUUGUCUUCAAUUCGAAGGUAUAGAUCUGAACAUAAAUAUAGAAUUUUUGAUCUUGAUUUUAAUUUAGGUAGCUAUAUUUUACUGUCCUUAUAUGUAAAUUAUGUGUAGGGAAUCGGUAUAUCUCAAGAUUAUAUACCAUAUUAUAAAAUAUAUGCUAAUUUUGUGCAUGUAUAUAAUAGAGUUAAGAUGUAUAUUCAACAGCUAUGAUCAGAAUAUACCAUUAUCAUUUUGAAGUAAAAUUUUUUUUGUCUAAAUAAGGAUUAAGUAGAUGUAUUUUAGCUAAUCAAUCACUAUAUAUUGGUAGUUGUUGAAACUAAUUAUAAGGAAGUUAAAUAGAUUGAGAAUACUAUUGUCGAUUAAUUUAUAAGGAAGGAAAUGGGGUUUUAAUAAUUGUAAUAUAGUUAUCUUUAAAAAACAAUUAUCAUCAAGUUUGAGAGAUGAAUUGGUGACUGAAGUAUGUACAAAGAAUAUUUUCAGUUUAUAUUCAUUACAUAUUUAAUUUUAUUUAAUUAUUCUCUUAAUUUAAAAAAAUACAUUUAUUAUGUAUACUAUAAAUUAAAUUUAAAUUAAUUAUACACAUAAAAAUUACAUAUUUUCAAGUAUUGAUGCUUAUUUUCUUUAAAUUAAAAUAAUUUUAUCCUUUCAAAGCCAGAGUAAAAAUUUAGUUAAUUUAAUUAGUAAUACAUUAUAUCAUCUCUAAAAUUUAGUUAAUUUAAAAAUAGUUACUUUUAUAAUUAAAAGUAACAUUGAUUUAAAUUUUAAAAUAAAUAGAGAUAAAUUGGCGUUAAAUUUAAUUAUAUUUUACAAUUUCAUUAUUUAGAAAACACACAUUUAUUUGAAUGGUCUUAAACGUAUAGGAAUUUGGCAAAUUAGAAUUUAAUUUUGUGGGUUGGUAGGUUGAAAAGAAUGACAAAACAAUUGUAAACGUACCCAAAACAAUUGUAAGCGUUUAGAAUUCAAGUUUGAGAAUGCAACUUAUUAUAUUUAUACCACAAAAACAAUUGUAAACGUACCCAACUCAAUAGUCAAAAAGCUAACGCAUAUGUGGUACUUCAAUUUAAUUUUUUUAGUUUUUGUGGUAUAAAUAUAAUAAGUUGCAUUCUCAAACAGUCAAACUUGAAUUCUAAACGCUAAACUUUGAAAUUCAAGGAAACAACUAUCAUCUAACCCUAUAACUCUUUAGUACAAUAAAUCAAAACUUCGUACAUAAUAUUUUUUUUUUGGAUCAAAUUUACAUAAUAAUUUAACCUAUACAAUUACAGAGACAAUAUUACCAGCAAAAAAAACCUUAUAUUAUACGUAUUAUACAAAUGAAAAGAAGGAAACAGGAAGCCGUCAGAUUCAAGAAACAUAAACAUCUUCUUUCAGGGUUUUUAACCGUCUGAUUUUUAAAGAAGCUUUUCAUCUCUCGGCAAGUCCAUUUUCUGCGAGCAUUCAAACUUUUGACCUUUUUGGUCUAUGUCCAGGAAAAAAACUGUGUGCACAAUAAAGCUACUCUAACCAUUUCUUAUAACUCAAUCUCAUCAGAGCUCUUCUUCUUGAGCAAUUUUUUACCCAUAAACACCUCAAGUUUCUUCUCUUGAUGUAUCUUUUUAACUCAAUCAAGCAUAGCACCUUUAUGGUUAGACGCUUUAUCAAACUUAAGAACUUUUUUUCUCGUUUAAGCUCAAGAAGAAGAACCCCAAACCUGAAAACAUCGUUUUUCUCAGAGGAUUGAUCAGUUGAUAGAUAUUCAGGAGGAAUGUGACAAACCGUGCCUCUAACUGCGGUUGUGAUAUGAGAAUCUUGGUGAUCCAAGAGUUUUGCCAAACCAAAAUCACCAACCAUAGUUUCACAGUAAUCAAUAGUAAUAAAGAAGUAUAUUCGCUGCUUUCACGUCACGAUUAAUAAUCUUCUGAUCAUAUUGCUCAUGGAAACACAAGCCCUCUUCCAGCUCCUAUCAUUCUAGACUCGACGCUUGCAUUAGACAUGUAAGGAUAAACCAGAAGCUUUUCAGUUUGUGUGAUGCAGAACAGAUAAAUUGAUCAAUUUCGACUUCUGACUGAAAAUGAAUUUCCCCUCCUAAUGCAUUUUCAUCUUUAAGACUUUUCACCGCAACCACCGUACUGUCUCCAAGUAUUCCUCUGUAUACAUUUCCAUAGCCUCCUUUUUCCCAAUUGGUUUUUACUGGUAAAGUUAUUUGUCACGACCUGAAGCUCCCUGAAACCAAAUCUUCUGAGGUGUCCAAGUGAAACUUCCUCAUAAUGAUGCCCAUCUGAUAAGCCAUUACAACAUAAGUUUCUUUCAAGUGAAUCUUCUAAGAAUGUUGUAUUGUAUGCAAGUAAGAAACUGAGAAAUUUCUCAAACCUUUAACAUCAAAGAAUGUCUUUUGGUUUUGUCUUUGUCUCCACCAUAAAAACAACCCAAAGGCAAUGAAGAUCAGUGAUACAAUUCCAACGCUGAUUCAACCCCAAUUGCCAUUUUGUGAUUCUUAGAUCUACCCCAGGUAUAAUGGCAAAGAGAAAGCAGUUGUUAGGUAGGUAUGAUCAAAUGGUGUACACGAUUGGUAGAGGAAUUGUUUGCCUAGAUUCUAAAACCCAACCAAGAUAUAAAAAGUUGUUUAGUCGUCAGCUUAUACUUGGUUCAGUCAUUAACAUGAAAGCACAUCAGUGAAGUUUAUGAUUAUCUGAGUCAGUUUUGAGAUCAAAGUCAAAACUCUAAAGCAGGAUCAUGAAAUCGUUAGCAGUUUCUUGGAUUCGUUGACGGCUUUGAUAUGCUGUUGAGAUUUCGAUGAUAUGGCAACAAUAGGUUUAAUUUCGUUGAUUGGGAAAACUGGUUAAUAGAUAUGACUAAUUUAAUAAUUAGGAAAAGGUGUGUUAAGAAGAUAAAAUGACAUUAAUAAAAUUAUAGAAAUAAGAGUGUCUAUAUAUUUAGUCACAACAAUUUUAAUAAGGCCAAAUUUAAAACAUGCCAUGGUAAAUUUCAAAUAGGACUCUGUUUUAAUAGAUUAGAUAUAUUCCUUAUUUUAAGCAUUAUUAUAUAUAUACUAUAAUAUAAUAUACGGUAUGUUGCAUUGUUAUAAAACAUACAAAAACAUAUAUACAUUUCUAGUCGACCAAUAUUGUUUGUGUGGUGCAUAAAAUACACCAACAACAUGUGUAUAUAACUAAGUUAACCAAGUGAAGAAACGUUAGUUGGUCGGUCAUGACGAAAACGGUUCUGAGAGCGACCCGAAAUGCAAACUUCAAAGCCAAAAGGAGAAGUGCUCUUCACUUGUUCAACUUUUUUUCUUUUUGAAUAUAUAAACCAUAUGCAUUUGUUUCUUCAUUCACAAGGUAUAUAUUACAGACAUGUCUAAUUCAUUAACCUUAAGUGUGUAUAUAUAAUACUAUUUAACAUUAAUUUAUAUAUUCAUGAACAUGUCUAUUUUCUAUUCAAGGAUAUCUUCAUUUUCAAGGUAAGCAAAUGUUGAGUUAUUUCAUUAAUAUUUACGUAUAUUAAGCUGUUUUUCGAUUGUAUAUAUACAUAAGUUGACGAGUGUCAUAACCCUUUUUGUUUGUUUUAUAUUAAGCUUAGCAGCCGAGCAAGAAGUUUUGCUUCGGCUUCACACAACCACCUCUCGCGCACCAACACGUACACUUGAAGAAAUCAAAUUAUUGUUAUGGAGAAAAUAUUAUACUCCUUUAUCCAUAUAUUUUAUCUUUUUAUUGGAAAGAAACGUGGGUCACGAUUUUUAACUUCUCGAUUUACACUAAAAUCCGAAAAUAAACAUAACUUUUUAUACAAUCAUAAACAAAUCCACAGAUAAAGUACAAAAGAAGUUGGAAUAUUGAAUCUUGAAGAUAUUGCUAAUGGAAAAGGACUAAAGAUCAUAGGUUUUUGGGAGAGAUAGUAGUUUGUGUAAAUCUUUAUUAUCGACUCCAUCUUUGAAGACAUUAAUCUAUAGACUAUAUAUCUAAACAUGAUAAAUUGAUGUGUUUUUAGCUAGAAAAUGUAAGUUCCUUUGUAGUAUGGGGAAUGUGAGUUUUUGGUGAUACAAUUAUCAUUGUUUUUAAUAAAAUAUUGAAUUUUCUUCGACUCUAAAUUGAAAUUUGGAUGACAGAAUUACAAUGUAUAUCACAACUUAGAAUAUAACUUUGUGGUAGAAAGAAUUAACAGUAUUAGUUAUAACUUUGAAAAUAUAGUUUAGCUAUUUAACAACCAAACUUUAAAUAUACCACUCUAAAAUCUAUUAAUUUUAUCUAUAUGCAGAUGUCUGCUAAGACUAACCCUAAACAGAAGGGUCAGUGUAUAAUUAACUCUAGACACACAAAAAUAAUCGCUUAAUAUAUAUAUCAAUAAAGUAGUGCGAGGUUAAUCACUGUACAAAAUGUAGUCUCGUGUGUAUUACACUCUUUUGAGACUAUAACGGAAACCUCAAGUUUAUUUAUU
rnacentral:lncRNA from 1 species